rnacentral:lncRNA from 1 species
UUUUUUUUUUUUGUAAAUACUGGGGAAAAAUCUCUUUUUAAUUGCUUUAGAAAAUUAUUUUUCAUUAUGAAUAAUGAAUUUUUUAAUAUAUUAAGAAAUAUUUAGAAUGAGCCAACAAGAGGAUGACACGUGUCCCUCCGUUAACUCAAAGGGCAUUUUGAGCCAAAAACAUUAACAAAGGCUAUUUUUGAGCCGAAAACAUUAACGGAAGGGCAUAUUUGGCUCAAUAUAUUUUUGAGCCACAAAAAUUAACAAAGGCUAUUGUUGAGCCGAAAACAUUAAUGGAAGGGUAUAUUUGGCCCAAUAGGUGGAUGAAGGGUAUUUUUAGACCUACGCUGCCCUUUUCCCAAAAUUAUAUAUAAAUAAUCGAAGGGGGAGGAGGAAGAAGGUUGUGAAAAUUGAUGACGCAUUUACUAUAUGAUGACUAGAUGUAAAUUUAGGUGAUAUUAAUUUUAGGUCUACUAGUUAUUACUGAAUAUACAUCGCACAUGUUCCCCCAUUUAGUUAUUAUAAAAUUUCCACUUCCUGAAGAUAUCAAUAUUAAGAUCAUGUCCACCCAUAUACCUACUGCUCCUAUAAAUUAAAAUAGGGAGAUCUUUUGAAAAUUAAAAUUCUAACUUAGAAAAUAUUGGAAUAUUAGUUUUUUUUUUCUUGUCUCCCAUUAAUUGGGAGGGAAAAUUUUGCUUAAAUGGGACACGCAUUAUCAUGAAUAACAUAUAUAUAAUCAGUGAAAUGUUGUAGUUACUUUAGCAUUCCAAAUUAAAUGCUAAGAACACAUUGCAAUGGAUUGAAGUUCAACAGCCUACUCGACAUGACUGGUCUCAGUUUGUCCACUGGUUUAUAGAGCAGGCUAAAGGAAAAUUUCCUCGAGCCCACAUAGUUAAAAUGGCCUUGACAGAAAUGUUCUAUGUCCUAUGGCUGGAAAGGAAUGCGAGAAUAUUUGAAAACAUUGUAACAAACUUCUCAGAUUCAUUGCUUACACUUGUAAUGUUAGGGCACCUCCUAAGGUACGAGUACACCUUCAGCAUUGCCUACUGUAAUGUUGAAUCUUGACUUUGUGACAAACUUUUUAGAUUCAUUGCUUACACUUGUAAUGUUAGGGCACCUCUUAAGGUACGAGUACACCUUCAGCAUUGCCUACUGUAAUGUUGAAUUUUGACAGUAUAGAUUAGUCAGUUUUUGUUCAUUUUUGGAUAGACAGCUGAGUAUAAAGCUGCUCUAUGGUUUUGUAUGACAACCACUUUGGUGAUUAAUAUAAAGUUUAAUUACCGAAAAAAAAAUGCUAAGAACACUAACUUCUGUUAAAAACACCUAUGUAAAAAGAAAACGAAAAAAAAUCUUGUGAAAAAAUAAAAGAAGAAACAGAAAAAAGAAGUCGGCUUGUUAUCGUCGAACUAGUAGUCGUGUCUGUGCGAUGCGCGGUCGGUAGUAAAAAUAUUAAAUUAAAUUGUAUUAUAAUCGAACUUGUUUGAUCCUAUUAGAUUGUAUUGUUUUAAUAAAAAUCAAUUAUCAUCUUACUUGUCAAUAUGAUAUACCCAAUAACGAAAUCUCUAUAAAAUCAAAAGUACUUAUAUAGUUAGUGAAUAAUUUUUUUAUUCUAUAUAUUUUUCAUUAUAUUAACCAAUAUUUAAUAUUCGCUUUCUUUUUGUCAUAUAUAAUAAGAUUUAUAAUUUAUUACUGUUGAUUUAUUUUUUAUUUUAAAUUUUAUUCUAUUGUUCUUAAUAAUAUUAUCUAAAUUUUAAUAAACAAAUUCUCUGUUAAAUUAAUGGGACUUAUAUAGGGAGCGCAUUGAAUAAUUUUUUUGUUAUGUAAUUUUCUUUAUUAUAUCAUCCAAUAUUUAAUAUUAUUACAUUGCUUAAUAAAAAGUUUUACUAUCAUAUUAUUUUAUUAAAUAUUUUUCUCUGGAAGUUUUUUUUUAUGUCUUUAUUUUCGUUUUAUUUAUUUUAAAAUAAUUCUAAAACUCCAACUUGAAACUAAUCCCAAAUUUGAAUAGGUAACUUAUUAUUUUUUUAAUUUUAUUUUUUAUUUUAAAACUCAAACUUAAAACUACAUCCCGAUUUGAAUGGGUAGUUUCUCUUCUCUUUCUUUCAUUUUUUAUAGCUAAUCUUUUUCUUUUUUAUUUUAAGAUAAUUUAUAAACUCCAAUUUGAAACUACUCUCAAAUUUGAAUUGGUAAUUCAUUAUUUUUUAUUUUAAAAUUAUUUUAAAACUCCAACUUGAAACUGCUUCCCGAUUUGAAUGCGUAGUUCUUCUAUUUUUUCAUUUUUAUAGCUAUUUUUUCCUUUUAUUUUCAUAUAAUUUAAAAAAUUCAACUUGAAACUACUCCCACCCGAUUUGAAUGGGUAAUUAUUUUUUAUAUAUAUAUAUAUUUUUGUUUUCAAGAGCUUCCUGAUGUAUUUUUGCUGAUAAAUGGAUAUACCCGUUGGGGGCUGUUUUACUUGAAGGCCCACGAAGAAGUUCAGUUCCCCCAUCAUGCUCAUUUCAAAUUUAGUUCCCAUGAGUUUUGUAAUUUCUUCACAUAGAGAAUCAGUUAUUGCUCCAAAAAUGAUAUCAUCAACGUAGACCUGAACAAUGAGCAGAUUCCUUCCUCAUUUCUUUAAGAAAAUAGUGUUGUCAAGUUUUCCUCUUUUAAAGUCAUUUUCCAAGAGGAACUUUGACAACAUUUCAUACCAAGCUCAAGGAGCCUGCUUUAGCCUGUACAAAUCUUUCUCUAAUUUGAACACAUAUUUAGGGUGCUCAUGAUAUUCAAACCUUGGAGUUGCUUCACAUAGACUUCUUUCUUAAGGAGUCCAUUAAAAAAUGCACUCUUGACAUCCAUUUGGAACAAGGUGAAUUCCAUAUGAGAUGCAAAAGCAAUCAGAAUUCUAAUAGCUUCCGUGCGAGCUGCUGGAGCAAACGUUUCAUCAUAGUCAAUCCCUUCCUCCUGAUUGUAACCUUGGACCACUAGUAUGCCUUUGUGCCUUGUGGUAAUUCUAUAUUCAUCGAGCUUGUUUAUGAAUACUCACCUAGUUUAUGUAAUGGUUGGAUCUGGGGGUCGAGGUACCAGGUGCCACACAUUGUUUCUUUCAAACUUAUGUAGCUCGUCUUUCAUUUUUUAUAGUUAUUUUUUUGACCUUUUAUUUUAAAUAAUUAAAUAAUCCAACUUGAAACUGCUCCCACCCAAUUUGAAUGGGUAGUUAUUUUUUGAUAUAUUUAUUUUUUCAUUUUUUCAUAUUUAAUUAUAAGAUAUCUAUAUUUAUUUAUCCAGAUAAAGUAAGCAAUUAAUAUAUGUAUAUGUAUAUAUAUAUAUAUGGUAAUUUUUUAUUUUAUUUUAUUAUUUUCAUUUUUAUAUAUAUUUAAAUUCAAAAAUAAUAACUAAUAACUAAUUAUAAACUAAAGAACUAAUUAUGUCAUGUGGCAUUUUUUUAGGUUGCCACUUGGCUUAAGGAGAGGGCUUUUUCCUCUCCUUUUAAUAAUAUAUAGAUAGAGUUUUAAAGUAACCAAUUAAUAUAUAUAUAUAUAUAUAUAUAUGGUUAUUUUUUAUUUUAUUAUAUUAUUUUCAUUUUUAUAUAUAUUUAAAUUAAAAAAUAAUAACUAAUAACUAAUUAUAAAAUAAAUAACUAACUAUACCAUGUGGCAUUUUUUUAGGUUGCCAAUUGGCUUAAGGAGAAAGCUUUUUCCUCUCCUUUUAACAACAUAUAUAGAUUACAUUUUUAAUAGAAAUAUUUAUUAGCAUAUUACUUUAUUUAAUAUUUUCCUUUAAAAGUUUUUAAAUUUCUUUAAAAAUACAAUUUGAAGCUACUCUCAAAUUUGAAUCGGCAAUUCAUUAUUUUUCAAUUUUAGUUUUUAUUUUAAAAUUAUUUUAAAACUUCAACUUGAAACUACUUCCGAUUUGAAUGCGUAGUUCUUCUCUUUUUUCAUUUUUAUAGCUAUUUUUUUGCCAUUUAUUUUAAAAUAAUUUAAAAAAAUUAAACUUGAAACUACUUUCACCCAAUUUGAAUGGGUAGUUAUUUUUAUAUAUUUAUUUUUUAUUUUUCUAUAUUUAGUUAUAAGAUAUCUAUAUUUAUUAAUACAAAUAAAGUAACUAAUUAAUAUANNNNNNNNNNNNNNNNNNNNNNNNNNNNNNNNNNNNNNNNNNNNNNNNNNNNNNNNNNNNNNNNNNNNNNNNNNNNNNNNNNNNNNNNNNNNNNNNNNNNNNNNNNNNNNNNNNNNNNNNNNNNNNNNNNNNNNNNNNNNNNNNNNNNNNNNNNNNNNNNNNNNNNNNNNNNNNNNNNNNNNNNNNNNNNNNNNNNNNNNNNNNNNNNNNNNNNNNNNNNNNNNNNNNUAUAUAUAUAUAUAUAUAUAUGUGUGUGUGUGUGUGUGUGUGUGUGUGUGUGUGGUAAUUUUUUAUUUUAUUUUAUAUUUUUUGUUUUUAUAUAUAUUUAAAUUCAAAAAUAAUAACUAAUAACUAACUAUAAACUAAAUCACUAAAGUACUCACAGCAAGAAUCAAAAUAGUCAUAGGUGGCUUGAUUGGCAAUUCACAGUCAGCUUUUAUUGAAGACAGGAGCAUAACAGACAACAUACUAUUUACCCAGGAAUUAUUUAAAGGGUUACAAUAGGAAAGGAGUAUCCCUCGGUGUGUAUUAAAAGUUGACCUGAGGAAGGCAUAUGACACAGUGGAAUGGUGUUUUAUNNNNNNNNNUAUAUCUAUAUGUAUUAAAAGUUAACCUGAGGAAGGCAUAUGACACAGUGAAAUGGUAUUUUAUUGAGAGGUUGUUGCUGGACAUGGGUUUCCCCUACAAAUUUACAAACUGGAUAAUGGAAUGCAUCUCUUCUGUCACAUAUUCAUUAAGUCUAAAUGGAGGGCUGGCAAAUCCGUUUAAAGGAAAAAGAGGUAUAAGGCAAGGAGACCCAAUGUCCCCAUACCUCUUUGUAAUUGUCAUGGAAUGUUUGCACAGGGAACUCAAGCAUAUGAUGGAAAGAAAGGACUUCAAAUUUAUUCCUAGAUGUAAGAAGCUGGGAGUGGCUCAUAUAUAUUUUGCUGAUGAUCUUCUACUAUUCUGCAAGGCUGAUACCCAAUCUGUAAGACUUUUAAAACAGAAGCUCCAAAAAUUUACUGAAACCUCAGGACUUCAAGCAAAUGCAGACAAAAGUACAGUCUAUGUAGCAGGGGUAUCAAACUGGAUAAAGGAGGAAAUCUUGCUCGAACUGGACUUCCCUGAAGGGUCUCUAUCUUUCAAAUAUCUUGGUGUUCCUUUGGACUCCAAAAAAUUAUCAGUUACACAUUGCUGGCCAAUAGUAGAGAAGAUAACAUAGAAAAUUAACCGCUGGACAUCAAGACUUCUAUCUUAUGCAGGUAGGCUCCAGUUGAUCAAGACAGUAUUAUUUGGAAUGAAAUCUUACUGGUCUCAAAUCUUCCUGCUACCUAAAAAGGCAAUGAAGAUUAUCGAGGCAAUAUGCAGAUCCUUUCUAUGGACUGGUGCAGCAAAUGUGUCAAAAAAGGCAUUAGUAGCAUGGGAAACUAUAUGUCUACCAUAUAGUGUUGGUAGCCUAAAUGUAUUGAACUUGCCAAACUGGAAUAAGGCAGCUGUUGCAAAGCAUAUGUGGGUGGUAACAAUGAAGAAGGACAGCCUAUGGAUCAAAUGGCUGCAUACAUAUUACAUUAAGAACAAUGCUGUAGAGGAUGUACCUACUCCUAAAAGAGCUGCCUGGGCUGGGAGAAAGAUCUUUGAGACAAGAUCACUGAUAACAAAUAUCCAGGGAAAUCUGAAAUGUAGAUUGAUCCAGCUACAGAGGGGUGAACUGUUUAGCAUCAACAAACUCUACAGACUGCAACUCCCCAAAGUACACUAGAAAAGCAUAGUUUUGCAGACAAAACUAUACCCAAGAUUCAAAUUUAUCGUCUGGCUAGCUUUGCGCAGAAGACUGGCAACAGUGGAGAGGCUAAUGCACUUUGGGAUANNNNNNNNNNUAUCGUCUGGCUAGCUUUGCGCAGAAGACUGGCAACAGUGGAGAGGCUAAUGCACCUUGGGAUACAGAUUCCUCAACAAUGUGUAUUAUGAAGGCAAGUAGAUGAAUCUUUUGACCAUAUAUUUUUUACUUGCCCGACAUCUUGGGAGCUAUAGAAUAGACUGCUAAUAUGGCUGGGAUACCAGAGACCCAUUUGUGAUUGGAACAGUGAAGUAGAAUGGAUUAGCAACAUUGCAAAAAGGAGAAAUGGACAUGCUGAAAUAAUCACCAGUGUGUUUGGGAUGUUAGUAAAUUGUCUAUGGCGAGAAAGAAACAAGAUAGGUUCCAAGGCGGAGGCAUAGUUAUAAAUGAUACAUGCAAAGAGAUAGCAGUUCACAUACAUAUACAGGGGGGCUCCUUCAAACAGUGGAAGGAUGUUUUGCGAAGACUGGAUCACUACCCUUAGAAAAGGAAGUGAAAGUAAUUAUAUGUUUCUUGAAAUUGAUGUAUAUAAAGCUUAUGGGAGUGAAUUCCUAUAUACUGAUUGAAAGCAGUAGCUGGUCAGCAGCUACCGGUUUAUUCUGUAAUCUUUGAUCUGUUGAUGAAAUGAAGCUUACAAAUUUAAAAAAAUAAAAUAAAAUAAAUAACUAAUUAUGUCAUGUGUCAUUCUUUUAGGUUGCCACUUGGCUUAAGGAAAAGAGCUUUUUCCUCUCUUUUUAAUAAUAUAUAAAAAGAUUUUUAUCGCUAUGUUUUUCCUUUUAUUUUAAAAUAAUUUAAAAAAUCCAACUUAAAACUACUCCCACCCAAUUUGAAUGGGUAGUUAUUUUUUAUAUUUUUAUUUUUUAUAUUUAAUUAUAAGAUAUCUAUAUUUACUAAUCCAAAUAAAGUAACCACAAUAUAUAUAUAUAUAUAUAUAUAUAUAUAUAUGGUAGUUUUUUAUUUUAUUUUAUUAUUUUUUUAUAUAUAUUUAAAUUCAAAAAUAAUAACUAAUAACUAAUUAUAAACUAAAUAACUAAUUAUGCCAUGUAAUUUUUUUAGGUUUCCACUUAGCUUAAAGAAAGGACUUUUUCUCUCGUUUUAAUAAUAUAUAGAUUUACUAUUCCCUUGCCUUUCUUUUCCUUCCUUUUCUUUUUCAAUUCAACUCUUACCUCAAUUUUUCUUCCUUCUUCCCUCAUCAGCCUCUCACGCAUGUAUCUCACACAUAUGUAUAUAUAGAUAUACAUGUGAUACACAAUUGACAUAAAUAUAAUACAUAUAUGAUAUAGAAAUGAUACACAGUAUGAUACACAUAUUAUUUUUUUCAUGUUCAGCUUUUACUUUAAAUUUUCAAUUCAAAUCACUUCAAAACUUCACCACAUCAUCCCAAAAUUGAGAUUCAAGCUCCUUAAGUUAUGCCCAAUCUAUUCUAAUAAUAUCCACUCAAAACAAAGCAAAAAUUUGUUUUUUUGCUACAAAUAGCUAAUUGGCUAAUUUAGUUAAUAUUAGUAAUAUUUUAUCAAUUUGCCAAUUUUUCUAAUGAGUAUACUUAUAAAUGGACAUAGCUGGUAAUUUUGUUUUCUUCUCCUUUCUAUUUUAAUUAUUUUUUCUCCUUCUUUCCAUUUUAGGGUUCUUUUUUCUCCUCUUUCCUAUUUUAAUUAUUUUUUCUCCUCCUUUCUAUUUUAGUUAUUGUUAUACUCCCUUCCAUUUUAAUUCUUUGGCUACAAUGUAACUUGUAUUUAAUAGCAAACUAUUUUAUUUUUUAUUUUUAUCUAUUUUUGAGUAUAAUUAUAAUUUACUACUAAUACACAAUAGUCUAUUCAAUUUAUUUUAUUUGUUUUCAAAUCUCUCCCUUAAAUUUAAAAGUCUUAAAUUGAAACGUACCACUUUACAAAUAGAAAAAUGUGAAUCCUUCUGGCACAACCUUCUUCAAUAAUUACUUUGACAUCGCCUCGAUAAUGACAGCUAAGAAUUUGAGACUCUUCUUUAGUUCUCUAACAGCUAAGAGUUUUUGACUCUUCUUCGAUUCUUUGACUAUUAACAUACAUUUAAUCUUAAUUUCUUUAGUACAGAAAAAAAAUGGCAGACUAACUGAUAUUUAUAUCAGUUAAUGAAAGAGCCCAAUGCAAAAANNNNNNNNNNNNNNNNNNNNNNNNNNNNNNNNNNNNNNNNNNNNNNNNNNNNNNNNNNNNNNNNNNNNNNNNNNNNNNNNNNNNNNNNNNNNNNNNNNNNNNNNNNNNNNNNNNNNNNNNNNNNNNNNNNNNNNNNNNNNNNNNNNNNNNNNNNNNNNNNNNNNNNNNNNNNNNNNNNNNNNNNNNNNNNNNNNNNNNNNNNNNNNNNNNNNNNNNNNNNNNNNNNNNNNNNNNNNNNNNNNNNNNNNNNNNNNNNNNNNNNNNNNNNNNNNNNNNNNNNNNNNNNNNNNNNNNNNNNNNNNNNNNNNNNNNNNNNNNNNNNNNNNNNNNNNNNNNNNNNNNNNNNNNNNNNNNNNNNNNNNNNNNNNNNNNNNNNNNNNNNNNNNNNNNNNNNNNNNNNNNNNNNNNNNNNNNNNNNNNNNNNNNNNNNNNNNNNNNNNNNNNNNNNNNNNNNNNNNNNNNNNNNNNNNNNNNNNNNNNNNNNNNNNNNNNNNNNNNNNNNNNNNNNNNNNNNNNNNNNNNNNNNNNNNNNNNNNNNNNNNNNNNNNNNNNNNNNNNNNNNNNNNNNNNNNNNNNNNNNNNNNNNNNNNNNNNNNNNNNNNNNNNNNNNNNNNNNNNNNNNNAUAAACAAAGCAACCUUUCGUCAUUAAUCUUCGGAGGCGAAUUACAUAUUCAUAUCCACAAUAAAAGAAUUAGUGAGACUCCCUUUCUUUUGAUAUCCCAAUCAUCUGGCCUUUUAAAAAAGAAAAUUAAAAACUUAGAACUUUUAAAAGGGCGAAACAUGCUUUAUUCAACACAUUCCCAUUCAAUAACACCUAUUUUGCGAAGAAAUUUCUCUCUGUUUGGUUCUUUCUUUUUCUUUAGAACUUCUUUUUGUUUAUACUUGGAUGAUAAGUCAUUAUAAUCAUUAAGGUUUUUAAGAGUUGCACGCUUAAUUUUAUCACUAGAUAAGGAUACAAUGGUACCCCCGUCGUGCGCAAUCCUAGAUCCGCCUUUGCUGUCACUUAAUGUUAUUUAGAAUAAUAGAAGCAUGAUAUAAUGAAAACAGAAUUAAACAUAAAUGCGAAAAUGGGAGCUAUACAACCCAAAGUGGCAAUACUCAACAUAACUUUCCAGAACUAGACGAAACAAAGUCACAAGCUCUAAUUAAAUACACGAGAACAUCUCAAAAUACAGUAUUGUUUGAAAUACGUAAAAAAAUAGAAAUGAAGCAAGAGGGUAACGCUGAGGCCUGCGGCCAAAUCAUGUAGGGAUUACUUGAAGUCUCUGGUGUACAAAAUGACUCACUAUCGAUCAGCCUAAUCCAAAGUACCUAGAUUUGUACAAAAAUAUACAGAAAUAUAGUAUAAGUAUACCACAAUCAACAUCCAGUAAGUAUUAAGACUAACCUCAGCGAAGUAGUAACGAGGUUCAAGUCAUUUAAUACCUACUAGACAAAUAGCCGGGGCAAUGAUUAUACGAAGAAAACUAAUAACACUAAAAGAAUGAAAAACAAUAAAAACCCCCUACCCACCCCACCCCCACUACCCCAACGAGAAAUAAUAACUCAGAGUGAUAAAUUCAUCUUUGAUCACAAAAUAUCAAAUAGAGAUGGAGGUAUGUGAUAACACAUCAAAUGCAGUCAUUAACUCAAAUAAGGGAAAAACAAUAACUUUCAGAAGCAAUUAUAAAAAUGAAAAUAUCAAUCUCGUCUCAACACAAUUACAACUAUAAUAAGGAUAACCCGAAAUAUCACUUAACUUUAUCAGCAAUGUCACAUUUACUGCGCCGCAUGUGCACAUAAUAAUAAUAUGCCACUCUUAUUUCGUCACAUGCGCAUAUAGCCAUCCUUAUUUUUCUACGUGGGCUACCCGAGAUAACGCUACCUUAUUUCAUACACACGCACAAUAAUAGACACAUCACAUGGUAAAAACCUCGCGUUGACACCCCUAAUCAAUCCUCUCAAUAUGUCCACAAGUUUCACAAUACCUCAAAACAAUAAUACAAAGUGCCGUAGUAUCGCAAACAAUAAUACCAAAGUUCCAUCAUGAUGUAAUCUCACAACUUUCAACAACAAUACAUAUGUACAUAACAAUAAUCAGAAAAAUGAAGGGCACACAAUAAAUAUAGCAUGAUAAUAGCUAAGUCAAGGUAAUGACAAUGAUCAUAUAGUCAUAAAAGGAUCUCAACAUGGUUCUUAUGAAGUUCAUUAUUAUAUUAAAGGAUCGUUUGGUAAGAAGUAUUAGAAAAAAUAAUGCAAGUAUUAGCUCCGUGCAUUACUAAUACCUUGUUUGAAAUAUUUUUUCAACUUGUGUAUUACUAAUUCUUGUAUUAGUUAUACAUCAUACUUGGUAUUAUAUUAUGUAUAAGUAAUAUAGAGAAAACCAUGACAUUAGUACUACCAAGGAUAUUAAUGCGCACAUUAAUAUGGUUAAAGGAAAAAUUAUCAUUAAAGUCCUUUAAAACUAGAGAAUAUGGAGGGUAUUUUUGUAAACAGCAAUUUUUUAAAAAAAAUUAUGCGAUGCAUUAUAAUUUUUAAUACACUAUACCAAAUAGUAGAUAAAAAAUAAUAUUUGCAUAACUAAUGCUUGUAUUACUAAUCUAUGCAUUAUUAAUCCCUGUAUUACUAAUACACUUUAUUCUGCAUUAUUCUUAGUCACCCUACCAAAUGACCCCUAAGGCAUAUUAAUAGCCUACUGUCUAUUCCGGUCAAAUUCAGACAUAGCUCGUCACCUCAUGUAAAUGUCACUUCCACAUCAUAGAAAUCAACAUAACAGGACUAGCACCUAAGGGGUAUCGCCCCACACAAGGUUAGACAAGAUAUUUUCCUCAAAAAAGUUAAAUUAUUACUCUAAGAAGCCCUUUACACGUAAAAGAAAACCUCUAGACAGCUCGAAUAUAGCUAAAAUAACGUAAUAUCAUAAAUAAAGCCAAAGAAAACGAUUCUGAAUAACAAACCUUCGAUCUUUAACUAAAAUAAAAAAAGUUAAUCCCGAGUUUGCACCCCGAAACGCGACAAAACUCAUAAAUUCCAAAUACCCAUUUCGAUAGGAGUCCAACACCAUACCAAUUACAUCCAAUUCUAACCUCAAUUCGAUCUUUAAAUAAUCAAUUUUAUAUUUUAGAAAAGUUUUUACUAAAAUAUCCAAUUUCUUCAAUUCAUAUAAUCAAACAAUCGUUAGAUUUUAUGUUGGAAUCAUGAAAUAUAAACAAAUCCAAAUAAAAAUACUUACCCCAAUACAAAUCAUGAAAAUUCCCUCCAAAAUCUCCCAAACAGCUCUAUAACUCAAAUUAUGAUAAAAUAACAGAAGUCCUCAAAAUUGAGUAUUAAAAAGGUCUGCCCAGGCAUACCCUUCGUGAUUGCGGAACCGUCUUUGCGAUCACGAAGCAUAUCUAAACACUGCCUCCAAAUAACUCCACAUGAACGCGAGGCCAAGGCCGCGAAACAGAAGCACAGCACACUCUUGACCCUACGUGAACACGGGCGACUCAUUGCGAUUGUGAAGGCUUAUAGCCAUAUGCCCCCAGUCGGCCUCCCUUCUAUGAGAAUGCGUCAACCCUCAUGCGAUCGCAAGGGGAAAUGACUCUCAAAGCAUUGGGAACACAAAGAAAAACCGCCUGCCAUAAAAAAUACACUACGCGAUCGGAACUACCUUUUCACGAUCGCGAAGAAGGAAACUAGGCAUUAGAAAUUAGUAAUUCCAAAAACAUGGAGAAAUUGUCUGAAACCCAUCUGAAAUACACCCAAGGCCCCCAGGACCACGUACAAUAAAAUCAAUUCAUCCUACAACACAACACAUACUUAUUUGAGGCCUCAAAUUACACCAAACAUCAUCAAAACUAUAAAUCGCACCUUAAUUUAAGCUUAAUGAACUAAUGAAGUUUCAACUUCUAAAACUCAUGCAGAACCAUGUCAAAUCAACUUGGAAUGACCUCAAAUUGUAUGCAAGUCCCAAAUGAUACAAAUUACCUAUACUAACUCUCGAAACCACAAUCUGAACACGUUAUCUAUUGAUACCGAAUUUUUCCUCACAUAUUUUAAAAUACACAUACACACACACACACACACACACACACAUAUAUACCUUCUUCAAUAAUUACUUUGACAUCGCCUCGAUAAUGACAGCUAAGAAUUUGAGACUCUUCUUUAGUUCUCUAACAGCUAAGAGUUUUUGACUCUUCUUCGAUUCUUUGACUAUUAACAUACAUUUAAUCUUAAUUUCUUUAGUACAGAAAUAGUAUUAAAAGCUCCAAAUAAAUUUAUUUCUUCUUUUUUUAUUAUAUAAGUAUCUAAUAAUUAUCCUUCAAAUUACUUUUGUGAUGGGUUAGUCAUCUAAAUUCAUUAUUUAUGUCAACAUAGUAUUUAAAUAUUUUUAGUGUAUUUUUAUAAUUAUAUUUACAUUUUUAGGGGUAAAUUGCACAUAUUUGCAAUAAUAGCCUAUACUAAUGUUUAAUUACUAUAUUUAUGCAUAAAAUGGUCUUCUAUAUUUUUAAAAUGUUUAAAAACUAUUUAAAAUUAUUUUAUUACACAAAGGUAUUUUUUGUACUCAUUUAUUAUGUUUUAUUGAUUAUUUAGUUAUUAAAUGUGGCUAUUUAAUAUCUUGCCCUAUUUUAUUUCAAUUUUGAUCUUAAUUUUGACCCAAUAAACAACCCUUUUUUAACCUAAAACUACCCAUCCCAAACCAUAAUGCGCGAUCCGGCCCCAAUCUCUUUCAAUCUUGGCCGUUGAUCAUAGAUAUCAAUGGCCGCAAUUAAUCCGUUCCCUUUUUAUUUCCAAACGAUCCCCCCCCCCCCACCCCUUUNNNNNNNNNNNNNNNNNNNNNNNNNNNNNNNNNNNNNNNNNNNNNNNNNNNNNNNNNNNNNNNNNNNNNNNNNNNNNNNNNNNNNNNNNNNNNNNNNNNNNNNNNNNNNNNNNNNNNNNNNNNNNNNNNNNNNNNNNNNNNNNNNNNNNNNNNNNNNNNNNNNNNNNNNNNNNNNNNNNNNNNNNNNNNNNNNNNNNNNNNCCCCCCCCCAACCCUUUUAUUUAUCACUGUCCGCCGCCUGAAAUCCCUUUUCUGUCCAAAAGCUAUCAAGUCCUAAUCCUAAUCUACUCACAUCACCGGUCAUUUCCUGCCUUUCAGGGUGUUUCCCCACCACUACUUGGCCUUUAAUGGCCUUCCUCAUGUUGGUAUUGCCAUCUCUAAGGUCCUCGAGGGACCAGGGUUAAUCCACUUGCUUCUAUGGCCCUUUCUCACCUGUUUCAGGCUGUUCCGAUUUGAUUCCGAGGAAGAUCUUCCUAUAUCUAGGUGUUUCUAAGCUUGUUUCUUCAUCUAUGUGAUUGUUAUUCUUGAAACCCUAAUUUCUUCAUUAUGAACUUCUUAGAUCUGUACAGAUCUGAGAUAUUUUUGACCUAUUUCGUAUGAGUUUUAUAAUAGCCUUUUGAUAUUUUACAAUAACCGCCUGAUUUUCGAACGAUUUUUCCUUUUUCUCUAAACUAGGGUUUCCGCAAAUUCUUUUUCCAAAACAUAUUUGAUGAUUUGGGUGUUUAAUCUUCUGUUUCCUAUAUGUUUUAACUGAUUUCGUUAAGUUUGCUCUAACUUCAACUCCUUUAUACUAAAAGCCCUAAUUUUUUCGACUCUUUUGUUUGAUUUCUGAGUUGCUUAUGUAUUGUCGUUGUUCCUAAUAUGCCCCUACUAAGUUCUUGAUUCAACAAUUCUAUUGAUUCUAUAUGUCUAUGUUCAUUUUGACUGUUCUUUUCUUGCUUUAUUUAAGUUGUCAGCGAUAUUUGCUGACUCUUUAUGUGAUUUUCUCCUUAGUUAAACUCUUGAUUAUUCCGAAGUUCUUAUUAUCGGUUUGACUUGAGUCAUUUUCCCGAAGAAAAAGCCUCGAUUCUUAUUACUCUACUUGGUUUGAUUGAACUUCUUACCUUAAUUAAUUUCCUCUUGCCUUAUUGGUUAUUUGCUAAGACUUGCUAAUUAUUUCCUUAAUUAGAACCAUGUUCAUUCAACCCUUAUUACCUUACUUGAUUUCCUCCCUUUAAAAUAUUUGUCAUGCUUUUACCGUUGAUUGGUUAUCCCUUAAUUAAAGAGACGACUUACUGAUUUACAUGUGUGAUUGAUUCCAUGAAUUUCCCAGACUGCUACUUAAUUGAUCUUUUACCUUAUUUUUGUUAACUCUCGAUUACGAUAUAAAAUCCCUCUUAUUCUUACUCCGGACAUGAACAAUAGUUGAGCAACUAUCACUUUACACUCUAAAAGGAUCUCUCUCUCCGAUCUCUUUUCUACUUGUGAUCCCUGUUAUUCUAGCGGGCUACAAGACAAGGCCGGAAAUUGCACAAUACUUUGCUCGCAUCUUGUGUUUUCUUUCUUUAGCUAGGUAUGCUUUUGAUUAAUUUUUAAGAAUCAAAACCUAUGUGUUUACUUAUUGCUUUAUUUCAUGUGGCCUGAGUUCGUUCAUACUUUUGUUUACUGCCUAUUCAAAUUCGUAAUUUGCAUGUUUCCACUUUACUUGCCUAUUUGUUAUCUUGUUUAACAUGUCUACAUAUGAUAAUGAGCUUGUUUGACUGAACUUUGUUUAUAUAGCAUGCCUAGACCUUGCCUUUGUGUAAUCAGCAUGCCUUCACCUGUCUUUGAAUGUUCUGACUCACUCCUGUUAAGUUAAUCACUCUCCAUAGAAUGGCUUCAACAUGUUUCUGCUAUGAUCUUUGCUGCAUGACCUACAUUCUACCUAUUAGUUCUACAGAAUCACCUCAAAACUCUAUGUAUUCUAUUGUCUGUAUGCUUCACUAAGGUGUACUUCAAUGUUCCAAAUCCAUCUAACCUUGUGUGAAAGCUACUUGCUAAAGUUACAUCCCAAAGCUUGAUUGUUCUCUAUCUUGUGUUCUAAUUGCAAAAUUAUUUCUUUACACUUUCCCUCAAACUGUUUUAUCACUAGUGGUUUUCAGAAGUUCUUUUUUAUCCUAAGACUUUUCUAUUAAACUCUUUCAAACUAUGAACUUCCACUUACUCUUAGAAUACUAGAUCAUGCCCUUCUAAUAUCUGUACUUCCUUGAGACCCUUGAGAUCUCUCUGAACUCUGGCAUGUCAGAGCUGGCAUUUCCACACCGCACCCAAAUCAAUUAUUAUUUGAGAAAGGUCUAGGUGUGAGCACUGCCCAUGAUUCUUAAGGUCCUUAGGGAACUUUGGCACACCUAGACAUGAAUUGGCAAUUGAACUUUGGCACUUGAGAUUACUGGAGGCUUGGAAAUUAUUUGAGCCUACUUAGGCUCCCUAUAGAUUAAUUUUCUACUUUAUUUAUGCAAGUUUUUUUUAUCAAUUCAUUGGUCUGUAAUAAUUUUGUAAACAAAUUAUAGGGUGAUUAGUGAAAAAGGGGAGUAGUUAUAUAUGUGGGUAAAAUUGGGUAGAUACCAUGCCUAUAAGGUCCAUAUUGAUUCAAAUGUGUUUGUUAGAUAUCAUGCCUAUAGGAUCUGCUUUGGUUUAAAAUAAGUUUUGCUUCCACACAAUUAGAAUCCAUGCCUACAUGAGUUAAAAUAAGCUUUAAUAGAAAUCAUGGCUCUAGGGGUUUCACCUUGGUAAGAUGAAUUCUGCUUGCUUCACAUUUUGUUUAAUAUGAAACCAUGCCUAUAGAACUAAAACCAGUUUAGUAAGGAAAAUUAGUUUAAUUCAUGUUUAUUUAUUCUGAAUUGGUUUAAUUAACUAAUCUAUCCACUUCUUUAAUAAGCUCCAGCGAUGCCUUAAAUAAUAUAGCUAGAAAACAUGCUUAUAGGAUCCAAACUUCCAUCUAAAAGUGUUUGCUCUUUAGUUACAUUCUUAAUCAAUAAUAUAUAUCAUACUCCCAAGAUAACCUUGUUAUACUUCUAGGAAAGCUUGUGGGGUGAUCAAAAUCAUGCAAACGAUGAAAUCGCGCCUUGUUAUUUGAGACUGCUCACAUUCAACAGGUUUAAAAGAAUCAGUUGGCAAGUAGGAUUAAGUUCUUUGAUACUUUGGUCCUUAUUCAAUAAUUUAUAAUAUCUGCUCACAUAGAUAUCAUGUUUUAGGGUUUUCUCCUAAAUACUUGAAACUAUUGUUUGAGACGUACACUUAUGUGUUAUGUUUGUGGAGGUAAAUGUGAGCCUUUAAUUGUUCCCUCUUUAAAUUUAGUCAUAAUUGUUUUGUUGACACCUAGACUUUUCUCCUUUAAAUACCUUAGAAUGGUCUAGAAAUACCUAAAAUAGAGGUCCUAAAUACCUCCAAGGUCAUGAGGAAGGGACGGGUAGUGCACGCAUAGGAUAUCUAUCAAGGUUGCUAAAACGUUUUAGGCUAUGACCAAGGGGAGGGAAUUGGGUAGUAAGGAUAUGAUGACUAAAUGCUAACGUCACGUGUAUCCCCUCAUUGAGGAGUAAUUACCGGGCAUUGAGUGGGUAUGAUCUUGUAGGCUAACAAACCUAGGACCCCUUUCUCCCAACUCCCGUUGUUUAAAUAAAUUUAUUUUAUAUAUAUGUAACUUGUUCAUGUCUUUUCUCUUGUUUCAUUACUUGAAUCAUACAUGUGCUUGAAAUAUCAAAACAUGCCUUUACUUGCAAGUACGUGUUAAAACUAUUUAUUUGGUAAAAGGACUAUUCAAGUAAGUAUAAGUUCGGCUGGGACCCACCAUUGUAGACCGCGAUGGGUGCCUAACACCUCCCACUCAAGGUUAUUUCGAGUCCUUAUCUGGUAAUGCAAUCUAGUUUAAAAGUUAAUCGAUGUAGGUGCUAGCGCACCAUAAUCCGUUAGGUGGAGACUCUUCAAAUUCCCAAAUCCCAAAAGAAAAUGAGUUAUUUCCCCCAUGAACGUCGAAACCCGAACUUCUCCGUGGAGGAAAAAAAGGGGGUGCGACAGCAUAGCGACUCUGCUGGGGAUACCUUUAGGCUCUUACCAUAAUGAACUUAUCUUUUUGUGAAUUAGUCCAAUCAUGCUUUAUCCCGUACCUUUUCCCCUUAUUUGAAUUUAACUGUCUUUUUUUAAACUAUUUACGAUUUUUUAUUCCUGAAACUGACUUGUCUCCCUGUCUUCUUUUUCAGUAACUGUCUUUCAAUUAUUUAAAUACUGCAUUUAUUAUUUUUACAUGCAAAUACUUGACUACAUGCUAUUUAUUGUUGCACAAAUCAUGUUUCACGUCAUAUUCCACUCGUGCGUACUAAAUCCUAUAGCAGCACUUGAUGAGUGGUAGUGCUCUUCCUAUUUAUUACCCUUAAAUUCGGAAAGACUUAUUUGCGGUAAAACUAGUCGAUCAGUGGUGCAGUCGACGGUUCCGUACUUUCCCCCCUCAAGUUGUCCGCUUGAGGGUACCAGUCUAGACCCACAGAGUAACCUUACUCUGAUUGCAAUUGUGCAUGCAUCAUGGUCAAACCUAUUCAGAUUAAUAUGUUAUCUACAUAAUGAUCCUUUAAGACAAGCCUUCCAUAAGUCCACUGGGGUUUCCAUAAUCCCAACAGACACAACCACAUUUUAUGCAUUAAUUUGGAGAAUUAAAUGCCAAUGCUAAUCAUGAAUGUAUAAAUAGUUGGGUCUGGUGGGGGAGAAGGGCCUAACCUUUUUGUUUUGUAGAAAAUGAGGCAUGAGGUCACCAUAUUCGGUACAGUUAGCAAUUUCCCAUGACCUUUCCUCAAGUGACAAGAAACACGUAAGGAAGAUCAUGGGAAAUUUACCUUCUCUACUAGACAUUCGGCCAAAUGAUAGGUUGAUCAAGGCUGCCACUUUGUUCUGGGACAGAGAAAGGGUUGUAUUUAAUUUCGGUGGCAUAGAAAUGACUCUAUUCCUAGAAGAAAUUGGGGACUUACGGGAUUGACAUGAGAUAGCCAUAGGUUGUUGGUACUGGAGAACCGUACAGGUAAAGGUUUUCUAAAGAUGGUGGGGUUGAAGAAAAAUGUUAACUUGGAGUUCUUGAAGAAAUACAACGUACCUUUCAAAUGCUUGUAUGAGAGGUAUGGCCACAUAAAGUCCUUCCGUACCUUCCAUGAUGAGCUUUCUAUCACUUCUCUAGGAUACAUCCACCACAGAGUGUUCAUAUUCAUUGUGUGUUUCUUGGGCCUGAUAGUAUUCCCAAUGAAAAGAGAAAGAAUCCAUAAUAGGUUGGCCAUGGUCACCAAGACUUUGAUGGAAGGGAUCAAUAGGCAAACAUACACUAUAGUCCCCAUGAUCAUAGCCUACAUCUACAGGGCUUUGGAGCGUUGUCAAAGAGGUAUCAAGCAUUUCGAGGGUUGUAACUUGUUGCUUCAGUUGUGGUUACUAGAACAUCUUCAUAAGGGUAAUUAUCGCCAAGAAUUUCAGUGAAGGGCUUGAAAGACCAUAUUUCCUUCCAUCACCCCAAGUGGAUGACUUACAUUUUGGACAGGUUGGCUCAGCCGGAAUGUUCCAAAGAGUGGGUAGAGUUCUUCGACAAUCUGACCGAUGAACAUGUGCAAUGGAUAUUUGAAUGGUUUCCAAUAAGCGAAUUCAUCAUCAAGUCCUAAUUGGGUUGAGAGGGAUAUACCCUUAUGUCCCUAUCUGAGUUAUGAGGCAAGCAUGUACCAAAAUGAGCCAUUUCAUACCAGACUUUUAGGAUGAUGAUGUCCCUUACAAGUGCCAAGCUCAACACAUGUGGAAAUGCAAGAUCAUUAUGGAAAAGAACACUAUUGAGCCGGACAGGUAUCAUCCGGGGUGUGAACCUCUCUACCUAGCAUGUUUAGAGGACAAUCUGAAAUGGAUAGUGAGGCCAGGAGCCGGUUGAGGGAAUAAGAUCAUAGAAGAAGAAGCUGAAACUCAAGUCAAAUACAACAGGCUGCGCAAGAGGGUCCACGACUCUAAGAAUGCGCAUCGGGAAAUACACGAGAAAAAUAUGAGGUUGAUCGACGUAUGAAAAGAAAUGGCUGUCACUUCCAAUAGAAAGUUGGAAUAUCUGGAGCUAAGAUUAGUGGUGCUAGAGGGAAAAGUCAUAAAGAGGAUUGAGGUUUGCCAGAAUACUAAAGGAAAUGAAGGAGAACAUCUGGACAGAGCCUACUAGCUGCUGGGUCUACGGGAGCUGGGGAACCUGUACGACAGAGUCAAUAAGAUCUUAUAUGGGAAAGGUCCUUCUAGGACCAAGUAGGAUAGAUUUAUUUGCUUUCCUAAAUGUAAUAGGGCCAAGUGCCAAUAGUGACUUACUUUUCUAUUGUAUUAAUGUCGUUUUGGGAUUUGUCUAUUUUUACAUUAUGAAAUGAAACAUUUACUAGAAUCUCAAGUUCUCCAAAUCUAUUUGUUGCUAGGCCUACCUUAGGCACAACGAGGCUCCCAAAUUACGGCACGGAUUUGCAUUCCCGUAAUAUUUGUUUAAAUACUGCAAAUAUUUCAAAACCCUCAUUGACUUGUCUACCUUUUUGUUUUUUCUUUAUUCUUUAUUCCCAUCCCUUAAGGUUGGUUCACUCAUACUGGCAUUAUCAACAUAUCACACGAGAUCUAGAGGCCCUCCAUCUCCUCCUCCUCCAAGCAAUAGGCAAAGGAAAUGCAAAAAUGGACGACUUAAAAGGUAUCCGAAAGGAGAAAGUUGAGAACACAGAAACUUCAGAUGGACGGAGUACUCCAGCACCAAAUGAUCUAGUCUUGAGAUUGGAACAAAAUAUAUUGGAAUUACAAGGAGAACAUGAGCGGGUUUGCAACUCGACAAACUUGUCGCUCACCUUAAAUGUCCCCAACAUCAACCAAUAAAAUACAAAGAAUCCAAUACCACCCCAAAACACACCAAACUAACAUCCGCAAAACCCUCUUGCACCGCAUCAAUAUGCAGCCCUACCCCAAAAUAUAAAUCCCCUACCAAUGCCAACUCUGCCAUACCACCACCACCAACCAAUUCAGUACCCACCAACUGCAACUCAUUAUAUUCCUAAGAAUACACCACAACCCAUUCCGAACCCUAAAAACUCCACCAAUGACCACAACUACACCCAGGCACUCUCCAAAACAACCCCAUAUAUGUGGAAACAAUUUCUCACUCUAUACAACGAAUCUCCUAUACCCCAAAAUCCUUCGAGAAGAACCAGCUCAUUAAAAACAUGGAUGAAGAACUCAAGAAGCUAAUAAGUCAAGUUCAGGAUAUUGAAGGCGGCAAGGGAAUAGAAGGUUUGAACUAUGAAGACCUAUGCAUACAGCCAGAUGUAAAACUUUCCGGAGGGAUACAAACCUCCCAAGUUCGAGUUGUUUAACGUACGGGUGAUCUCGGGGUUCAUCUAAGGACCUAUUGUGACAAGCUUGCGGGGUCGGGAAAAGAUGAAAAAAUACGAAUAAAACUCUUUAUGAGGAGUCUUACUGGAGAUGCUUUAACAUGGUACAUCAGCCAAGCUCCCAAGAAACGGUCCAAUUGGGUAAGUAUGGCAUUAGAUUUCAUGGACCAAUUUAGGUUCAAUACAGAGAAUACACCUGAUAUUUUCUACAUCCAGAAUUUUAUGAAGAAACCUACCGAGACUUUCUGUGAGUAUGCUACUUGUUGGAGGUCAGAAGCGGCCAAGGUCAGGCCAUCUUUGGACGAGGAACAGAUGAAAAAGUUCUUCAUCAGAGCACAUGAUCUAAGGUAUUAUGAAAGAUUAAUGGUUACUGAAAACCAUAAAUUCUUUAAUAUCAUCAAGCUUGGGGAAAGAUUCGAGGAAGGCCUCAAAUUAGAAAACCAUAAAUUCUUACAAAAGCUUGUUUGUUCUCUGUUUUGUGUUCUGAUUGUAAAAUUGUUUCUUUACACUUUCCCUCAAACUGUUUUAUAAAUAAUGUUUUUCAGAAGUUCUUUUCGAUUCUAAGAACUUUCUAUUAAACUCUUUCAAACUAUUAUGCAUUUAUACUUACUCUUAGAAUACUAGGUCCUGCACCUCUGAUAUGUGUACUACAUUGAGACCCUUGAGAUCUCUCUGAACUUUGGCAUGUCAGGGCUGGCAUUUUCACAUUGCACCCAAAUUAGUUAUUAUUUUAGAAAGGUUUAGGUGUGAGCACUGCCCGAUAUCCUUGAGGCCCUUAGAGAACUCUGGCACACCUAGACAUGAAAUUGGCUAUGGAACUUUGAGACUACUGGAGGCUUGGAAAACAUUUGGGUCUACUUCAUGCUCCCUAUAGAUUAACUUUCUAUUUUAUUUAUGUAAGUUUUUUAUUCAUUUCGUUGGUCUGUAAUAAUUUUUGUAAACAAAUAGUGGGGUGAUUAGUGAAGAACGAAUGGUAGUUAUACAUUGUGGGUAAAAUUGGGUAGAUACCAUGCCUAUUGGGUCCAUGUUGAUUCAAAAUGUUUGUCAGAUAACCUGUCUAUAAGAUCUGAUUUGGUUUAAAAUAAGUUCUACUUUCACACAAAUAGAAUCCAUGCCCAUAGGAGUUAAAAUCAGCUUUAAUAAAAAUCAUGCCUAUAAGGGUUUCACUUUGGUCAAAUGAAUUCUGCUUGCUUCACAUUUUAUUUAAUUAGAAACCAUGCCUAAAGGACUAAAAUGAGUUUAGUAAGGAAAAUCAGUUUGAUUCAUGUUUGUUUAUUCUGAAUUGGUUUUAUUAACUGUUCUAUCCACUUCUUUAAUAAGUUCCAACACUGCGUUAAACAAUAUUGCUAGAAAACAUGCCUAUAGGAUCCAAACUAUCGUCUAAAACUGUUUGCUUUUUUGUUACAUUCUGAAUCAAUAAUAGGUAUCAUGUUCCUAGGAUAUCCCUGUUAUACGUCUAGGCAAACCUGUAGGGCAAUUGAAAUCUUUCAAACGAUGAAACUGUGCCAUGUUAUUUGAGACUGCUCAUAUUCAACAAGUUUAAAAGAAUCAAUAUGCAAGUAGGAUUAAGUUCAUUGACACUUUGGUCCUGAUUCAAUACUGUAUAAUCUCUGCUCACCUAGAUAUCAUGUUCUAGGGUUUUCUCUUAAAUACUUGAAACUGUUGUUUAAGACGUGCACUUACUUGUUAUGUUUGUGGAGGUAAAUGUGAGCCCUUAAUUGUUCCCUCUUUAAAUGCAGUCCUAAUUCUUUUGAUUGACUCCUAGGCUUUUCUCCUUUCAAUACCUUAGGAUGGUCUAAAACUACCUAAAAUUAGAGGUCCUAAAUACCUCCAGGCCCACGAGGAAUGGACGGGUAAUGCACACAUAGGAUAUCUAUCAAGUUUGCUAGACCGCUUUAGACUAUGACCAAGGGGAGGGAAUUGGGUAAUAAGGAUAUAAUGACUACACGCUAAUGUCACAUAUAGCCCUUUCGUUGAGGAGUGAUUACCGGGCAUUGUGUGGGUAUAAUCCUGUAGGCUAACCAACCUAGAACCCCUUUCUCCCAACUCCUGUUGUUUAAAUAAAUUUACUUUAUAUAUGGGUAACUUUUCAAGUCUUUUCCCUUGUUUCAUUACUUGAACAUGUGCUUGAAAUGUCAAAACGUGCCUUUACUUGAAAGUACGUGUUAAACCUAUUUAUUUGAUAAAAGGACUAAUUCACAUAAGUAUAAGUUCAGCCGGGACCCACUGUUGUAGAUUGCAAGGGGUUCCUAACACCUUCUCCUCAAGGUUAUUUGAGCCCUUGCCCUAAAUCUCUGGUAAUGCAAACUAGUCUAGGAGUUAAUCGCUCUAGGUGCCUAACGCACCCUCCAGGUGGCGACUCUUCUAAUACCCAAAUUCCAACUGGAAACGAGUUAUUUCCCCAUGAACGUCGAAACUCAAACUUCUCUGUGGAGGAAAAAAAGGGGCACGACAAUAUCAUUAAAGUCAACCCUCAGUCAAACCUAUCAGCCUUCCAAGCCUUCAACUUUUCAACCUUUGCUAAUUCAAGCCAAAAUAACCUAGGAACCUCCAAAUCUAAAUCGAGACAUAUGCCUAAGUUCAAAUAAACAUACAAAGCCUAUCGAAAUAUCAUUCAGGAGUCAUUUACAUAAAAUUAGAACUCCGAUCAACACUUACAACUUAAGCCUCCAACCUAGGGACUAAGUGCACCGAAUCAAUCCAAAACACCCCCGAAACCAAAUCAACCACUCCAAAAAGUCCUAAAGCAUAUAUAUACAUAUGAAAAGCAUCAAAUAGGGGAAACAUGGAUAAAAUACUCAAAAUGACCGAUUGGGUUGUUAUAUUCUCCCCUUCUUAUAUAAACCUUCAUCCUCGAAUCAGUACAGAGACGUACUUGAAGUGCCAAAAAGGUGAGGAUAUCGGCUUCGCAUAUCAUAAUUGGUCUUCCAAGUUUCCUCCUCAGCUAGUUGACCUCUCCACUGGACCUUCACCGAAUCAAUGUUCUUCGACCUCAACUUGUGGACCCGUUUGUCCAAGAUAGCAACCGGCUCCUCAACAAACUCAAUUCCUUGUCCAAUUGCACUGAGCUGAAAUAUAAACCAUAUUAUGGAUCACCUUAAUACUUUUGGAGCAUGGAACAUUGGAAUACCAGGUGAACGCGCGAUCAGAUGAGUGGCAAAGCAAGUAUGUAGGCUACCUUACCCACUCUUUCAAGAAUCUCAAAAGAACCAAUAUAAUGAGGGCUCAACUUUCCCUUUUUCCUGAACCUCAUCACACCCUUCGUUGGUGAAACUCUUAUCAGAACCCUCUCACCCACCAUGAAUGCCAUAACACGAGCCUUCCAAUCAGCAUACCUCUUAUGCCUUGACCAUUCUGUAUGAAGCCUCUCUUGGAUCAACUUUACCUUCUCUAAAUUAUCAUUGGGCCAAGUCAGUGCCAAUAACCUAGCCUCCCAAGGCACAAACCAACCAACUGGAGAACGACAUUGCCUCCUAUGUAAGACCUCAUAAGGAGCCAUCUGGAUGUUAGACUGAUAGAUUUUGUUAUAGGUGAACUCUGCUAGUAGUAGAAACUUGUUCCAUGAACCCCCAAAAUCAAUAACACAAGAACGUAACAUGUCCACCAAGAUCUGAACAGUGUGCUAGGACUGCCUGUCCGACAAUGGAUGAAAUAUCGUACUUAGCUCGACCUAUGUGCCUAACUCACACUACACGACUCUCCAAAAAUGCAAUGUGAACGCAUGCCUUGAUCCAAGAUAAUAAACACUGGCAUACCAUGAAGGCAAAUAAUCUCAAGAGAUAAAUUCGAGUGAGCUGCGAUGAAAAGUAGGUAGUCAUAACUGGAUUGAAGUGUGCAGUCAGUCUGUCCAUAAUAAUUCUCACAAAGUCAAAUCUCCUCAAGGUCCGUGGAAGUCCAACUACUAAAUCUAUGGUGAUAUGUUCCCACUUUCACUUUGAAAUAUCAAGCCUCUAAAGCAAACUACCAUGUCUCUAAUUCUCGUACUUUACCUGCUGAAAGUUCAAACAUCGAGAAACAUACUCAAUAAUAUCUUUCUUCAUCAUCGGCCACUAAUAGUGCUACCUCAAGACCUGGUACAUCUUUGCAGUAGCUAGAUGAAUGGAGUACCGAAAACUAUGGGCCUUUUCAACUAUAAACUCAUGCAACCCAUCCACAUUAGGAACAUAGAUAUGACCCUGCAUCCUAAACGCCCCAUCAUCCCCAGUAGUAACCUCCUUGGCACCGUCAUGCUGCAUCAUGUCCUAAAGUACAAACAAGUGGGGAUCAUCAUGUUGACGUGCCUUGAUAUGCUCAAACAAAGAAUACCGUGAAACCAUGCAAUCAAGAAACUGGCUAGGCUCUGAAAUAUCCAACCUCAUGAAACUGUUGGCCAAAUCCUAAAUAUCCAAUGCUAAUAGUCUCUCCCCAGCUGAAAUAAAAGCAAGACUACCCAUUUUAACGAUCCCAUCGGUUGUUUCGAGUUCUACCAUGUUUUUCGAUGGUUCAAGACCUUGAGUAGCUUCACUUAAUGUAUUAUGACUUGUAUGUGUUGCUUGUUUUGAUUUUUGGGAGGUUCAAAGUUGAUUUAUAGAAUAAUUCUCAAUUCGAAAGCCUUAAUUUGGAAGAGUUGGCCAAAGCUUGACUUUUGAGUAAAUGACCUCAAAAGGGAUUUGAAGUUUUCUAUAGGUUCAUAGGGUAAUUUCAAACUUGGAUGUAUAUUUAGGUUGAGUAUCGGAUGGUCUCGGAGUAUUUCACACUUAAUAUCGGAAGUUUGCAUUUUGAAGGCUUUGAAUUUUUGUAAGUUUGACUUGGAUUAUGCAUUAGUGUAAUCAGAAUUUGGGUGGUGUUUGGGGUCCUUAGAUAGGUUCAUUUAGUUGACUGAAACUUGUGCGUGAAGUUUGAUCGAGAUCCGGUAUGUCUAAGGGCAAUUCGGGCGCAUUCGAAAAUGUUUGAAGGUUUGAAAGUUAAAAGAAGGAUGUUGAUCGCCGAUUCGUGAUUUUGAUUUUAUUUGUGGUAUUUUUAGCCUUCGAAUAAGUUUGAAUAAGGUAUUAGGAAUAUUUGGUAUGAUUGGAUGGGGACCUUGGGUGUGAUUUGGGGUGGUUUCAAAUAAUUUCUUCUUGUUUUGCAGCUGUUGGUUCUUAGUGUUCAUGGUAUGCAUCGUGAUCGUGGAAGGUGAGUUUCGAUCGCGAAAAGUGACUAGAGUUGGGGAGAAUUUUUUUCAUCGCAAGUGUAGUUGGGAGUUCCCGUUUGCGAAACAGAAUUUUCUAGGGCUGGAUGGUUGGUCUUUGCAUUAGCGGAGCUGGUCUCGCCUUCAUGUAGGCUUGGUAGGUUUUUUAACGCAAUUGCAAAAGGACCUCGCAUUACCGAAGAAGGAACCUUGGGCGAGGCUGAUUUGGCCCUCGCAACUGGAGAUUGUUUCUGCGAUCUCAAAUAGGAAGGUCUUGGGCAGAAUAUAAGCUACAAAUCAGGAAUUUGCUCAUUUCAACUCAUUUCUCCCUUUCUAAGGCAUUUUUAGGCGAUUUGGUGGAGCCAUUUUCAUCAUCUAUAAUGAGGUAUGUGAUUCCUACUCACUGUGAGUUAUAUACAUUGAUUAUAUAUGGAUUUGGACAUGAAAAUUGGUAGAAAUUGUGGAAAUUUUUGAAGAAAAUCUAGAAAUGGUAUAUUUGGGAAUUUUUGAAUUGUUAAUUUACAAGUCAUUGGGUAUAUUUUUAUUUAUUUGCAGGUUGUUUGACUAGUUUCGAAUCCUUUGGCAUUGGUUUGAUGCGUUAGAGAGGCGUUGGAGUCGAUUAUUGGAUUUCAGAGCGAGGUAAGUCUCCUGUCUGACCUUGAGAUGGAAAAAUUACACUGCAGGUGUUAUAUUUAUUAUAUGCUACAUGUUUUGGGAGCUAAGCACAUAUGAGGUGACGAAUGUCCAUACGUAUAUUAGAAUUCCUGAUUAGGUCCAGGCAGACUUAGACUCACACCGCUUUUUAAUUGUACUAUUUGAGUUAUUCUUGCAUGAUUUAAAUAUUUUAAAUUAUAAUUUUAUCCUGAGACUAGACUUUAGUAAGGUAUUGAACUUGCUAUUUUAGAUAUUAGGCGAGUAAGGUAUUGAACUUGCUAUUUUAGAUAUUAGGCGAGCUACUUGAUUAGCUGUAGAAAUUAUAAUUUCUUUUACGGAUUCCUCCUACAUUGUGCAUACUUGUCUGAAAGUUUCUUAACUUUCAUAGCUCACACAUAUAUUCGCGAGUGAGGCCAGUGACUCGUCAAGUUUCAUUAAUCCUACAGGAUCGGGCUGAACGCCUCAGUAGUUCUAUUAUGGAUUAGGUCGUACGAUAUCAAUAACACUAUGAGAUGCAUUUAUGGUUUAGGUCAUUUGACCUCGGUAGUGUACACAAUUAUUAUAGGAUCGGGUAGUACGCCGCCAUUGCGCUUAUGGGAUCAGGUCGCUUGCCUCAGCAUAAUCGUGUGAAAUAAUUGAUAAGGAGUCAACGUACUUAUGAGUUGUUCUGACUUGAGAUGUGACAUUUUAUCUUGUGCUGACCAUUAUAUAUUCCAUUCUAGGUAGUAUUCGGCUAUUGAUGACUUCAUAUUAUUUCUUCUAUUGAGAAUCAUGUUAUGUACAUAUAAUUGAUCUUUACUUUUUUACUUGUCAUGCUGUGUACCUGUCUACUUAAUAUUAUACUAGAUUUAUGGGACCACUGGUAAAUAUCAAUAUCGACCCCUCAUUACUAUUUCUUUGAGGUUACGCUAUAUACUUACUGGGUAUACAUUGAUUUAUGUACUCAUACUACACUUCUGUACUGAUUGUGAAGGUACUUAGACAUUUACUUCUGUUGGUCAUUGAGAGCAUACGGGCAUUCGUUGAGGAGACUUUGUUAUGCGUUGCUCUCGAUGUUACAAUCCGCAACACACAAAGUCCCUGAUCUAUCCAUUUACUGUAUUCUGUUUAUUUCCUGUUCCAUACAACUAUUGUAAUAGUAUUGCAUAUUCUGGUAGAUAUUCAUGCACUUGUAAUACUGGAUUUUGUAGAUUAGAUUUUGCUUGUGGUUGUAUUCUUUUAUGAUUCCGGGUUUAUAUUUUGGCCACAUUCGAACAUUUAAAAUAUAACAUUUAUGAUUUUUAUGAAAACUAAUAAUUCUUACUCUUUAUUUCUUUAAUUGAAUUGAAAUACACUUUGGAUUUACUAUUAACGUAUUGAUUUAAUUGUUGGCUUGCCUAACAGUAGUGUUUGGCGGCAUCACGACCUAUAAUGGAUUUUGGGUCAUGACAUCCAUGCUUUCAGUCUUCCUACUCUAAGCAUCAACCACCAUAUUAGCCUUCCCCAAAUGAUAAAGAAUGGUGAUAUCAUAGUCUUUUGGUAACACUAAUCAUCUAUGUUACCUCAAAUUUAGAUCCUUUUACGUGAAUAGGUGUUGUUAAAUCCUAUGAUCCAUGAACACCUCAGAAAACACACCGUAGAGAUAGUGCAUCCAAAUCUUCAGUGCGUGAACAAUGGCUGCCAACUCCAAAUCAUGCACUGAGUUGUUCUUCUCAUGGGGCUUCAACUGAGGCGAAACAUAAGCAAUUACCCUAGCCUCCUAUAUCAACAUACACCCAAUGACAAUCCGUGAAGUAUCACAAUAGACUAUAUAAGAACUCGAUGCUGAAGCCAAAACCAGAAUUUGAACUGUAGUUAAGCAAUCUUGAGCUUCUGAAAGCUCUCCUCACACUCGUCAGGCCAUUUGAAUGGGACACGCUUAUGAGUCAGUCUAGUCAAAAGAGUUGAUAUGGGCGAGAAACCCUCCACAAAACGACUAUGACACCCAGCCAAUCCAAAGAGACUCCGUAUCUCAGUAGCAGAAGCUGGUUUGGGCCAACUCUGAACUGCCUCAAUCUUCUUCGGAUCCACCUUAAUUCCCUCAUUGAACACCACGUAGCCUAAGAAUGCCACUGAAUCAAGACAAAACUAGCGCUUGAAGAAUUUAUCAUAUAGCUUCUUCUCCCUUAAAGUCUGGAGCACGAUCCUCAAAUGUUGCUCAUGAUCCUCUCUAUUGCGAGAAUACACCAAUAAACAAACAACGAAGGAAUUAAGAUAUGUCUAGAACACGAUGUUCAUUAAGUGCAUAAAGGUUUUUGGGGCAUUGGUCAGCCCAAAAAACAUCAGUAGAAAUUCAUAGUGACCAUAGCUGGUCCUGAAAGCCAUCUUUGGAACAUCUGAAGCCCGGAUCUUUAGCGGAUGGUACCCCAAUCUCAUGUCAAUCUUCGAGAAUUCCUUAGCACCACGGAGUUGAUAAAAUAAAACAUCAAUACACGAUAGUGGGUACUUGUUUUUUACUGUGACCUUGUUCAGUUGCCUGUAGUCAAUACAUAUCCUCAUAAAAUCAUCUUUCUUCUUCACAAAUAAAACUGGAGAACCCAGGUGAGACACUCAGUCUGAUGAAACACUUAUUUAGAAACUCCUGAAGUUGUUCCUUUAAUUCCUUCAACUCCACUGAUACCAUGAGAUAUGGUAGAAUAAAAAUGGGUUGAGUGUCCGGCACCAAGUCAAUACCAAAAUCAAUAUCCCUAUUGGGUGAUAUGCCUAAUAAGUUUGUUGAAACACGUCUGAAAACUCCAUCACUACCAGAACUGAAUAAAUGGUAUGAUUAUCAACACUGACAUCCCUCACAAAGGCUAAAUAUAAGAAGCACCCCUUCUCAGCCAUCCGAUGUGCCUUCGGAAAAGAUACCACCCUACUAGGAAUAAGACCCAAUGUAACUCUUUACUCCAACCUCGGUAACCCUAGCAAAGCCAAUGUCACGGUCUUAGCGUGAUAAUCUAGAAUAACAUGAUACUGUGACAACCAGUCCAUGCCCAAAAUCACAUCAAAGUCCACCAAAUUGAGUAGCAAAAGGUCAAUCCUGGUCGCAUCAUCCCCGAUAUUGACUAAACACGACCGAUAGACAUGGUCUACCAUAAUAAAAUCCUCAACAGGCGGAGAAACAUAAACUUAAGUGUCCAAAGAAUCAUGAGAAAUAUGCAAAUAUGAAGCAAAAUAGGAUGUAAGUGGAACCUAGAUAAAUUAAAACUGAUGCAUCCCUAUGAAAAAUCGAAACAAUACCUAUGAUGUUAGUGUCUAAUGUAACAAUCUCAGUCCUACCAAGAAAAGCAUAACAACGGGCCUAGCCUUCCCCUCUGGGACAACUUCUACCCGUCUUUCCUCUGCCUCUAGUAGGCUGUACAGGUAGAGUACAACUGAAGCAGCAACCAUGGCUUGUGUAUCCUGUGAAGUUCUAUCCCUCCUAAGUCUGGGACAAUCCCUCAUAAUGUGCUUCAUAUCUCCACACUUAAAACAACCUCUCUCUGGGCAUGGCUACUGGUAUUGAGUUAGACCUGGUCAACUAGAGUAGCCUCUGUAGGAACUCCAUGUAGAAGGUGAACUUGAAGAUGACUGCCCUAUUUAAUUGACUUGAGGCUCCUGACUAGCUAGAGUAUCAUGAGUAACCUAAAGUGCAGACUGAACUAGUCGACUAGUAAAACUUCUGCCAUGUUUGUCCCAGAGUAGGUGCCCCCAAAUCCUCUAAAACCACGAGACUUCUUAGCCUCCCUAUCCUUUCUCUCCUGACUAUGCUUUAACUUCCUAGAGAUCUCCACGACCUACUAAAAUAGAGUAUCUAUCUCCAACUCUCCAUCCCAAAUCUGAGGUUGUAGAUGAGUCCCUUAAUAAAUCUACAAACUCUCUCUAGUAGUGGAAACAAAAACAGGUGUGUGACGAGACACCUCAACAAACCUCAUAGUAUACUCAGACACAGUCAAAGUCCCCUGGCACAACUGCUCGAACUCAGUGGUUAACGCAUCCUUAAGAGUAUGUAGGACGAACUCCCUAAAAAAGAGUUAGAGGACUGAGCCUAAGUAUGUGGAGGUGAGUCAACUUGCCUACUCUUCUCAUAAGCGUGCCACCAUCUAUAUGCCUACCCUGUCAGCAGGAAAAUAGUAGGAUCAACCUCGAUCACCUCCACUAUGCCCAUAGUGCGUAGAUUACAGUGACACUGAUCUAGAAAACUCUAUGUAUCUUAAAAUACUACAUCGCUGAAAGUAGGAGGAAAAUACUUCUUGAACAUUUCAAGACUUUUCUGCUCCUCCUAUGAUGCCACUGGCCUGACCUUAGGCUGAACUGCAAUCACAGGCUGUACAGGCAUAACACCCAAAACCUUAUCAAUAUAGGCUCGUUUGUUUGGAUUAUGGGCAGUGGGAUUCUAGGCUCUUUCCCAACCUAAAAAUAGUUGUGCAACUGGGAUCAAUCCCGACUGAGCCAAGGUACCAAACAUGCUCAAGAAAUGUGCCAAAGUCUCCUAUAGUCCAAGGGUAUUAAAAUACACCUCAGGUUCCUGCUCUUCUAUCAGAGCUACUGGUGGAUCCUCAGUCGUUAUUUUGGCAAGUAUUCUAGAUGUUGCACGUGCCCUUCCUCGGCCUCUAUCUAAGCCCCAACCUCUCGCGGCUCCAGUAAGGGGGGCGUAUGGUUGCUCAGCUGAUCUGGUUGUGCGUGUCCUCAUCAUAUAUGAGAGAAUAGAAAGACUAAAGGUCAAGCUCUAAAAUUAAUAAAUCCAUACGAAAUAAAAGAAGUGAAAUUUUCUAAUAGUUCCGCAGCCUUCGAAGAUAUAUACAGACGUAUCAGUACCGAUUUGUAAGAGUGUAAUAAACUUUCUCGUGACUCAUAGAACUAUGAACCUAGAGCUUUGAUACCAACUUGUUAUGACCCGAAAUCUCACCUUAUGGAUCGUGAUGGCACCUAGUAUCCAAACUAGGUAAGCAUGUCACUUAACAUUUUUAAGUGUUAGAAGCAUGAUAUAAUGAAAAUAGAAUUUAAAAUAAAUGCAAAAGUAAGAGUAACACAGGCCAAAGAGACAACACUCAACAUAACUUCCCAAAACUAGGCGGUAUAUAGUCACUAGCUCUAACUGAAUACACGAGGACAUCUAAAAAAUGCAACACUGUCUGAAAUACAUAAACAAUAUAAAUAAAAUAUGAGGGUGACUCCACGGCCUGUGGUCGGAUCAUGCAGGAAUACCUUGAAGUCUCCCGCGUACCAAUGCCUCACUGCUAAUUAGCCUGAUCCGAAGUACCUGGAUUUGCACAAGAUGUACAAAAACAUAUUAUGAGUACACCAUAAUCGGUACCUAGUAACUAUCAAGACUAAUCUCGAUAGAGUAGUAAAUCAUUUGAUACUCACUUGACAAAUAACCUGGCAAUCAUUAUAUCGAAAAAAACUGAUAACAAGAAUAUAACGGGAAACGAUAAUAACAACCCCUCUAGAACGUGCAAUAACAACUUAAAGUGAUAAAUCCUCCUUUAUUCCCAAAAAAUCAAGUAGAGGCGAGGCAUGUGAUAACACGCUAAAUUCAGUGACUAACUCAAAUAAGGGCAAAACAGAAGCUUUCAAAAGCAAUUAUAAAAAAAACUAUCAAUCCAGUCUCAACAUAAUCAAAGCAACAAUAAGGACAAUCCGAAAUAUCAUAUAAUGUUAUCAACAAUGCCACUCUUAUUACACUGCAUGUGCAUAAAAUAAUGGUAUGCUACAUUUAUUUCGCCCAUGCGCAUAGAACCACAUUUAUUUCGCCACGUGGGCAAGUAGCCUGAGAUAACAUCGCCGUUAUUUCUCCACAUGCGCACAAUAGUAGACACAAUUGCAUGACAAAAACCUUGUGUUGACACUCCCAAUCAAUCCGCUCAACAUGUCCACAAGUGCCAGAACACCUCAAAACAAUAAUACCAAGUGCCACAAUAUUAAAAAUAAUGAUACCAAUGUUCUAUCAUGUUGUAAGCUCAUAAUGUUCAACAACACUGCAUAUGGACAUAACAAUAACCAUAAAAGUAGAGGGGUAUACAAUACAUAUAGUAUUACAAUGGUUUUUUCAAUGUAACGAUCAUGAUCAAAUAGUCAUAAAAGAAUUUAAACAUAUUUCAUACAAAGUUCAUUAUCACAUUAAGGUAUAUUAAUAGCAUACGGUCUAUUCCAAUCAAAUUCACACAUAGUAACUAUAUAUACGCACGUCACCUUUGUACACAUUACUUUCACUUUAUAGAAAUCAAUAUAACAGGUCUAGCACCUAAGGAGUAUUCCCAUACACAAAGUUAGGCAAGAUACUUAUCUCAAAGAAGCUAAAUCAAUAAUCUAAGAAGCCCUUUUCGCAUGAAACAACCUCCGGACGGCUCAAAUUUAGCUAAAAUCUUAAUAUCAUAAAUAAAAGCCAAAAAAAUAAUUUCGAAUAAUAAAGCUUCGAUCUUUAACUAAAAUAAAAAAAUCAACUCAAUAAGUUAACCGUGGGUCCGCAUCCCGAAACCCAACAAAAUUUAAUUCCAAACACUCAUUUCGAUACCAGUACAACCAUACCAAUUACACCCAAUUUCGACUUUCACAUCGACCUUCAUAUAAUCAAUUUAUGUUUUAGAAAAGUUUUUACUAAAAUUCUCGAUUUUUUCAUUUCAUAUCAUUAAACAAUCGCUAGAUUCAAGGUUAGAAUCAGGAAUAUAAACAAAUCCGAAUAAAAAUACUUACCCACGUAAAAAUCCCCUUCAAAAUUCCUCGAGUCCGAGCUCUAUAUUUCAAAUUAUGAUAAAAUAACAAAAGCUCUCGAAAUAGAGUAUUAAAUAGGUCUACUAGGCAUACCCUUCGCAACUACGGAACCGUCUUCGCGAUCGCGAAGCAUAUCCAAACACUCAUUCCAAAUAACCCUACGUGAACCCGAGGCCAAGGACGCAAAAACGAAGCACAACAGACUCUUGACCCUACAUGAAUGCGGGCGAAUCGUUGUGAUCGCGAAGGCUUACAGCCAGAUGCCCUCAACCAGCCUCCCUUCUACGCGAAUGCGUCAACCCUCAUGCAUCGCGAAGGCCACCGCCUCCCAAAGCAUCACAAACGCAAAGAAAACCCGCCUGCCAUAAAAAAUACCCUACGCGAUUGCGACUAGCUUUUCGCGAUCGCAAAGAAAGAAACGAGACAUCAAAAAUCAGCAAUGCCAUGAACAUGGAGAAAUGGUCCAAAAUCCAUAACCAACCUAUCCCAAAACAUAACAUAGACUUACUCGACGCCUCAAAUCAUACCAAAUAUCAUCAAAACUAUGAAUCACACCUUAACUCAAGCUUAAUGAACUAAUGAACUUUCAACUUCUAAAACUCAUGCCGAACCAUAGCAAAUCAACCCGGAAUGACCUCAAAUUUUGUAUGCAAGUUCGAAAUAACACAACAAACCUAUACCAAUUCCCGGAACCACAAUUCGAUCCCGAUAUCAAUAAAGUUAACUCUUGGUCAAACCAAUCAACCUUUCAAGCCUUCAACUUUUGUCAACGCAAGCCAAAAACAACUUAGGAACCUCCAAAUCAGAAUUUGGGCAUAUGCCUAAGUCCAAAAUCACCAUACGAAACUAUUAUAACCAUCAAAAUAUCAUUUUAGAAUCUUCUACAUAUAACUCAAACUCCGGUCAACUCUUACCACGUAAGCCUUCAACUAAAGGACAAAGUGCCCUCAAUCAAUCCAAAACUCUCUUUGAACCAAAACCAACCAUUCGACAAGUUCCCAAAAGUACAUAUACACACAUGUAAAGCAUUAAAUAAAGAAAACAUGGCUAAAAUACUCAAUACAAUCAAUAGGGUCGUUAUAUGAACUCUAGUCAGUUAUGCUUAAGUGUUUCUAAUCUUAGCUACGUGUAUUUUGUCCAAAUAAUAUCGCUACAUUAACAAUUGCUAUUUUUAAUUAAUUUUUGAACGACAGAUACUUUUCAAAUACCAUGUCAAAAAAUAGCUACACUACACCAUUUAAACAAUUUUCAUAUGAUUGUGCUAAAAACAAAAAACUAUUAAGAAAUUUGACAGAAAUACUUUAUUUGUAGGUUAAUUUUGACAAUUUGACCUAAAUACUUUGUUUGUAGGUUGAUUAUUGUAAAAAGAAGAAGCCCAACUUAUAAAAGCUGAACAUGGAAAAUUUCAAAUAAUCAGAUUUACUAAUCAAAAUAGAACUUUUAAAAUGGAAUCAAUCUGCGCUUUUUUGGUUUUAAAUUUGAAUUGUAAUUUUUAAAUCCAAAAACAGAAUUUUCUUUCACAAUCCAAUCCGAACGGUCCAUCCCUACCAAAUACUGUAUUUCAUACCCAGACCACCCUAACAUUUGCUUACAAAUACAAUUGCGUCCUAUAUCACACAAUCCUCCAACCUCCGCCGAGAAAUUCGUCGGAAUCUAUCUACCAGAAUAUCGCCUGAGAUUUUUCCGAUAAUCGACAAACGGCUAUAAAAAACAUAAGUUAAAAGAGAUAAGAAGGGAAAUCUCGCGUUGAAGAAUGGGGAAGAAACGGAAGUCGCUAGCAACGAGUCUCGAUGAGGUGGAUCGAACCAUGUAUUCAACUUUCUGUAGCGCUGCCAACUCCCUUUCUCAGCUUUAUACUCAAGCUAUGAACCAACAGAAACUCUCUUUCCUUUCCGGUGAACGCCACGGAAUGGUAUUUUUACUUCCUUCUUUGUUUGGUUUCUUAGUAUAUGCUAUAAAUAUUUGUUUUUUGUUUGUUUUCUAGUUUUAUGCUUAAUUUGGUAUCUAGGGAUUGUCUUAUGUUUUUCUGUCUGAGUUCUAAGGUAUAGCUGGUCUCAAUAAAGGAGUAGAGUUGCUGGGGGAUGAAAGCCCAUAGGAAUAUAGUGCGGAAAAAUUACUUUAACUAUGAGGAUUAUUUUGUCAACACCAACUAGUUUGGGUUGAUACAUUGUUUUUACUUCUUUUUUGGGUAUAAUUUUGGAAUUUGAACUUUGUCUGUGUGACCUUUCUAAAGUAUAGUGGGUCCCAUGUAAAGGAGGAGGAUUGCAGUUCCAAUAGAGGCUACACUAUGUGAAUUUUGCCUCUGUCUGAGCCAUGAUGCGAAGAGGAGUUAGUUACCUAAGUCCUUUAUUGGUGGGAGGUAGCAAGUGCUUGAGGUGAACACAAGCUAGCUCAAACACCACCAUUAUAUAAAAAGAGUAGGAUUCCAAGUUCCAUUUCUGUACUAAACUUCAGACCUUGUGCUCCCAUUCAGCUACAUCAGAAGUAAGGAAUUCUUAUGGGAUUAGCUUGCUGAAGGAGGUAAUAAAAGAAAACAUGUUUUAUGGUGUAUAUCAAUAAGAGUAGGAAAUGGUAUAAGGAUUUGGUUGGGAGAAAAGUGUGGUGGAACAGCUCUAGAAGAAGCAGUCAAGCCGAAUUUGAAGUAGUGAUUAGCAUGAUGCUAUAGUGUCUGACGGUUUUAGUAGCGAAAUCCAUAGCAAGGUUUGAUAAUCGGAGGAUAUUGUGGAAUUUCUUCACAGGUGUAUGAGUGGCCUAUAGGAGGUGAGGGGAUGAUAGGAUAGUAUGGGGGAAGGAGAGAAAAGUCAUCUCUCUAAAAUACAUAUUGUAUUAACUAUCCUGAGAUGGAGACAGGAAACGGUUAUAGAAAAAGUAUGGGAAACCAAGGCACCUAAGGAAGCAGAUUUCUAGUGGUCUAUGGUGCAAGAUUCAACUUUAGCAGCAGAUAAUUUAAAGAAAGAGGAUUGCAUUCUGUUGGAUUGCAUAGCUGUGGAAUCUUGCACUUUUCUUGUUUGAUAUUAGGUCGAUAAUGUCAAGCAGAGUAACAAACGUUAUAAAAUAAUGUCAAGCAGAGUCAAGGACAAUCACUUGUUGGAGAAUACAGAAGGCCGAAUAGGAGAAUAAGGUAAUUUGGAGAAGCACACCUUUGUUGCUAUCGUAAUUGGCGGAAUAGGAGAUUAUUCCAUAAUAGAGAGAGAAUACCCGUGUACUUAGAUGGUUGUGUUGAGAUGAGUGGAUAACUUCAUUGACAAUUGUGGUAUGUAAAUACUUUUGAUACCAUGGUGGUAUGUAAUCAAUGAAGUGAUCUGACUUGUAAAGAGAAAAAGUGGUGCGUUUGAACUUGAUUAGACUGUACUACUAUGAAGUUUUUCGUCAUACUUAUAUGUAGUUAUGGCUUCACACUAGAUUGUGACUGCAAGUACUUUUGGUUUCUAAGCUUAAAUUAAAUGUUUCAGAAGGAAAUGUUUCUUAGUACCAAGGCUUCUAAAUCUUUUUUUGGAAGACACAUGCUGUGUUAUUUUAAUAUAAAUGAUCUACUUCCAUUUGUUGGGAUUUUAUCUUUUGAUGUAUCCUAGUUGUUGCCCUUUUGACUGUGUAUCAUGAUAACUAACAUACCAUUGUUUUAAUAGGAAAAACUGUACCAAUGGAUCUUGAGGCAACAAGAGGGUGGAUCCAGAGUAACAACUGUUGACAUACUGAACUACCUACAGGUUUCUUCUCUAUUAUCUUGAUUAUCUAGCCACUUUUUUAUGGUUGAUAUGUUUGAUUUUCCUUUCAUGUUUAUUCUAUAGAGCUUCAUCUACUUAGCAAAGAGCAUAUGAGAUCCUUACUCUUCUUAGAAGUGCAAUAUAACCCUGAAAGCUUGGUCUUUAGUUUUUUUUAUAGUUGAUGAAUCUCCACACGAUCCUUUUCCCAACCAAAAAAAUGAAAAAAAAAGAAAGAACAAAACCAAAUCACCGAGACUCUAUUCUUUUGUUCCGAUCAGAAAGUGGGAACUCUUAUGCAUUGCUCUUUUGUGAUUGGCGAUAUUGUAGAUAACCUAACAAAAAGAACAUAAAGUUUAUCUUGUAUGUUAAUCAAAAUUAUCUUCUUGAAAAUCUUGGACAUAACUGAUAACAUGUUCUGCUUGUGAAUGGUUAGACUCUUCGGAGGUACGUCCUCAAUUUCACUACUCGGGAUCUAGAACAUAGAAUGUCCAAAUCCGAUUUUUAAUUGACUUAGACUGAAAGAGGCAGAUUUAAAGACCCGAUACUUAGGAACAGUCAAUGGAUUCAAAAUUACGAAAAAAGGCUUAAUGGAAUUAAAGAACAUGAGGUUUUUGUUUUACCCCAAAUUUGUUUGGGACUGAGACAUAGUUGUUGUUGAGGUUUUUGUUUUUACCCAGAUUCCUUCUUUCCAAAGAUUCUCUUGAUCUUUUUAUCCAGAAUUCGUGCUGAAGUACAAAUGCAGUAGGGACCUUUUGAGGUUCGUUGCAAAUGCUUAAUUGUUUCUAGGAGAGAGUGAGAAACCAGUGGCUUCUCUGUAGUUUUUGUGUGUGCAAUCAUUUGAGGUAAAUAUUGAUCGAGCUUAGAGCAUGUGAGUCUUGUUGUUUCCGCAUGCAUUUGCCCAGAUCUUUCAGCAAGUGAAUUAAUCGCGCAAGCAGAAGGGACACUAUGUAUAGUAAUGCGACUGACAUUGUUAGGUGGCUCUUGUGUCUCCAGUCAUCACUGUCUCAAUUUCAUGAUGACGAAUUAGAUUGUAAGUUUUUUUUAACGAAUACAAAGGACUGUUAUUGGAACUGCUCUAGCUGGCCUUUAAUCCUAUGUUUCAGUCUGUAAGCAUAAUGUUUAUGCAAAAUGACCUUAGAUCUAUAUGAGGUGUUAAAUUACUUUUACCUGAAAACGCUAAAAAAAUGAGAAUGAAAUCUUAUUGGAGUUCGGUGGAGGUAGUAGGAGCUCCCAAAUUGCUUUUGGAUAGACCGAACUGGUUGAGUUACCUGGAUAUGCUCUUUUGCGGAAAAGGUUGCACGAGGUUACUCAUCCUUGUUGAUUUAUGACUUGGAGAUGACUCAGUAAACAAUCUUGCUGUUUAUCUGCAGGAUGGUUUGAAAUUUUUGUGCGCUUUGUUAUUAUUAAGACGGAUCUUGAUGUCAUAAGGGUACCGGCACUUACCUUCCUUGCUUUCCAUGAUGAUUUUAAGCCUGACAUUGAAUCCUGUGAUGUUGUAUAUGAAAAAAGAAUGUCAUGAUGGCUAUUGAUUCUUUACAUGACAGAGAAAUUUGUAUCAAAAGAGAUGUGGUACGGCCAUCAAUUAGCUCAACCUUAUGCCUAAUUUUUUUUUUCCUUCUAGUCAAGGUUUUGGGUGCUUGUGUUUUCAAGAAUUUUAUUAAUCGUGGAUGGAUCUUGUGUCUGUUUUAGGCAUGGUGUAUCUGUUAACCUAUUAUCUUUGUGAGAGUUCUUUAUUUGACAUUAAAUGAUUACUGGAUUAUAGAUUGCAAGAGCCCUCUUGAUACAUUUGAUCUGAUUAUAUUCCAUUAUUAGUUUUCAUACUGAUGAGUCAGGUCUUCACAGAAAAUGGGAAACCAUUGGCUUCUCAGGCUCUCAGCUAUACUGAAACCAUUGGCUUCUCAGGCACAUGUUUAAGUUGCUUUCCUCUAAAGCUUGAUUUGUUUAUUUAAGUGUAUUUUCUAAGAAUCUAUCUCUCAAUAUGCAGAUUGGAUACUUAGAAUUUCUUUUUGCGGAUAUUAUCUCUUUUUCUUUUGAUAAAAAAAAUAGAACAACAUUUUUAAGAUUAAAAUAAAUUGUAUACUUGACCGGCCAUUCUUGUUCAUAGUGGUUGAGAUUUGAGAGAUUCCUUUACAUGCCACUAGGUCAAGAGUUUGAGCCCGAUGCUCUGUCAAACAAAAAAAGAAAUUGUACACUUGCUUUCUACAUGAAAUAAACUUUACGAAGUAGCGAAAGUUUCACGUAUGUAUCUGUUUGAUGUCAAAUUGUUGAAGACAAAAGAAGCAAAAAGGAAGAAAAAAAUGAUGAUGGUGGCUUGGGCUUAUUGGCCCUUGGGUAUAAGUUGUCGAGAUCUCGUUAUUUUGUAGUUUAUAGAUAAGAGCCUGAUUUCCUGCUUUUUUCAAAUCUUAUUUAACUAUGUACUGUUUCCCUACUGACUGCACUUAACUUAUGGAAGUAGUUUGCCCAUUUAACCAUUCUGGUUGCUAUCUUUUUACAAAACCACUCCUGGUUUUGAUAACAUCUGACAGCCCCGUUUUGAUGUGUCUAUGCAUCUAUGGAUUUGCCAGUCCGAAUUGGAUUACAAUGGAGAGGAUCAGUCAAUGUCGCCUAGGCCACCACCUCAGCAUCAGCAUUCCCAGCCAAUGCAUUUUGCAAACUCAGGCUCCCAUGUCUCUCCAGGUCCAGUUGGCGUAGCAGCUUCAGGUCAUGGCUUACGUUCUGAUCAUGAUCAGCAACCAAAGAAUAAUGUUUUCUCAAAUGCUCUUUCAAGUCCUGUUCGCCGGAGCUUACAGAAUUAUCACAUUGCUCAAGGGGGUCAGUUUUCGAACAAUGUUCAAUCUCCCAAUGGUACAAGACACAUUGAAACAAACUCCCAACAGCAAAAUAGAGAUUCUAAUAGUUAUAUCUCUGCCGAUGCAUCCAUGGAGAUGCAUUCCGAUAGUCCAGGUCAUGACUCUACUUACUGAAUUAAUGUUUUGGAAGCUGCCUUUUGUCAUGCCAGGGUGGUCAGACUGCAAGUUCAGGUAAAUUGAUGUAUUCUGUCGUGCAGAUGUUAUAGGAGAAAAAGUAGAUUAUGAUAUUGGCUGCUUGCUGAUAAGAUGAGAAGUGUCCAGACAUCAAUAUCGUUGUGCACAUGCUCAUUGAUAAAAUGCUAUUUGAUGAGUACCAUACCUUUUGAAUGCACUCCUGUUGUUUUUGGGACCAGCUAGUUUCCUUUGGGUCUUUUGUGAUACUUAUGAAUUGUUUCAUUAUUUACCAUACUAUGUGAUUGGUGUCAGUGUUGCCUGACCCAGGUUUAUUAGCUUGUAAUUUAUGCUGCUCUUAUGCAUUUGAGUUAUUAUUAUUUGAGUAAUUAUCAUUGUCCAAGGUCUUGUCCUCUCCAGGUUCUGAAGUCUCUUCCUUUCUAUUAAAUGUAAAUAUAAAUGUAAAUGAGAAUAACAAAGCAUUUUUUCCUUGUGUUAUGCCUUUGCAGAAUGGAAUAUUUCUUAGACCAAUUUGCCAAUGAUUCUCCAAGUUAUGCCAGUGUAAAGAGAGAUAAUCUUUGCAAUCAAAGUGAAACUUGAACAUAAUCCAGAUUCUAGACUAUUUUAGGGCCUGAGCCAGGUUUAUUAGCUUGUAAUUUAUGCUGCCUUUAUGCAUUUGAGUUAUUAUUAUUUGAGUAAUUAUCAUUGUCAAAGGUCUUGUCCUCUCCAGGUUUUGAAGUCUCUUCCUUUCUAUUAAAUAUAAAUGAGAAUAACAAAACAUUUUUAGUAAGCGGAAAAGGUCUAAAAAUACCCCUAACCUAUUCAAUUUGUUUCACCAUUGCUCUUAGUUAACCUAUUGGUCCCCUAAUACCCUCACAAUUAUUUCUUGGCUCAUAUUUGUCCCUAAAAUAAACUGUCCCUUUUAAGAGCUGAAAUUGAGAUGACAUGGCACUCUCUUAUUGGUCCAUAUGUAACCCAAGUAUGCAUUAAAUAUCUGCCUGCCCACGUAAAAAUUAUGUGGGGUAACUACUUUUUGAAGUGGUAUUUAUUUUUUAUCCAACAUUUUUAAUGCUCAGCAAUAGUAUCUACUAGUCUAUUAAAAUUAAUAUGAAAGAAUUGUGUUACUCUUUCUUCUAUCACUUUCAUGUGUUAGGGAGAAGAAUUGUGCUGUUGAUAACGAAUUUCGAUGAGCAAACUCCUCUGUGUUCUACUUUUCAGUUUUCCAUUCCAUUUGUUUCUCUACUCUAUAAUUGUUUAAUUUGGUAAAUUGAUAUUCGCAAUAGUACUAGUAGUAAAAUGAUCGAAUUUGAUAUGAGAAAUAGUAAGAGUUAGGUUAACGCUUUAAUUAAUAAAAAUAUAGAUAGCAGGAGUUAUGAAAGAGUGAAAGAUUUAAGGAAGUUGACGACGUGGGGGGUCCUGCAUUUUACCGAACAAAAGUUAAGGACACUUGUUCUUAAACUUAGAGUUACAAGUUAAAAAGUUAAGGAUACUUGAUCUUGAACUUAGACUAAAAAGCUCAAAAGUUAAGGACAAUAGGUCUUGAAAUCCUGAACUUAGACUAACAAGCUCAAAAGUUAAGGAUAAUAGGUCAUGUAGUCCUGAACUUAGACUAACAAGCCCAAAAGUUAAGGACAAUAGGUCCUGAACACACAGUUACAAGCUCAAAAGUUAAGGAUAAUAGGUCCUGAACUUAGGCUAAGAAACCCAAAAGUUAAGGACAAUAGGUCUUGAACUUAGACUUACAAGUUAAAAAGUUAAGGACAAGUGGUCCUUAACUUAAAGUUACAAACACAUAAAUUAAGGACAUGUGGUCCUGAACUUCGAGUUUCAAGUUCAAAAGUUAAGGACAUGUAGUCCUGAACUUAGAGUUACAAGUUCAAAAGUUAAGGACAUGUAGUCCUGAAACUCUGAACUUAGAGUUACAAGUUCAAAAGUUAAGCAUGUAUUUGGUGGACCAUUUGGAAGGAAAGAAACUCUAGAUAUUUUGAAGAUGUUGCAAGCCUAUGAACAAAGGAUUAAGUUGAAUUGUGUAUUUUUCUUUUAAUCUCAUAGGCUCCUUGUAGCUAUUAUAAGAUUGAUUUUUGUGUGUUUUGGGUCUUGUAAACGGUUACCCCUUAGCACAAUCUUUGUGCUAGGGACUAAAUUUAUCAAUAUAUUGGAAUCUGUCACCUUUUUCAAAAAAAAAAAAAAGAUGUUAAGGUCCUUGUAGCUAUUAUAAGAUUGAUUUUUGUGUGUUUUGGGUCUUGUAAACGGUUACCCCUUAGCACAAUCUUUGUGCUAGGGACUAAAUUUAUCAAUAUAUUGGAAUCUGUCACCUUUUUCAAAAAAAAAAAAAAAGAUGUUAAGGACACUUGGUUAUGAACUUUAUGAGCAAAUGGGUGUUUUCGUCUGUGCAGAUAAAAUUUAUUAAAACGCUGGCUAAAGACUAAGAAUAUUUUAGACAAUGGCUUAAAAGUAAAUACAUGUGUUAUUAAUGGUUAAUCGUGCACUCUCCCCUCCCCCAUCUACACAUAUAUUCGGACCACCCAUAAAAAUUUGAAAUUUCUAGCAAAAGCCCUGACCGAUCCUCUUCUCUAUUCCGUGACCUUCUUACUUCAUCUGAGUAGAAGUUCUGCAAUUCUAUCUUUUUUUUUGUUGAACAUAAAGCGUUGAGAUGUUACUGUAGGUAUAUAAAUUUUAUUGAAAUUAAAUCUAUAAAAUAACUUGGAUUAAUAUUUUGAAUAUAUAUUGUGGACUAAUAUAAUUAGGUUAAUUAUAUAAGUCCAAUAUAUAUGAAUUAAAUAAAUAAGUCUAAAUUUAUUGGGUUAGUCCAUUUAAUUGGGCUACAAAUGAUGAGUCACUUUAUUAGGCCCAGGAUGUCAUUUUUAUAGAGGAACAGUUUAGUGACACGUGCGAAAUGGCAUGACACGCCAAGCCAAACGGAAGAGCUAAUAGGAUCAUGCCAUAUGUCAAAAUUAAAAGGCAUGCCAAGUCAAAAUACUACGGUUGUUGCAAUAUUUUUCGGUCUUGAUUAUUUUCUUAACGCAGUUUUAUUGUCUAUAAAUUUUGACACGUCUAGUAGGAUAAUCUCUAUCUCUCAUCUUAACUUUUCAAUCAACAAAAUUCAAGAACAACGAAAUGGGUUCAAAGAAAAUCAACUCCGGAUCAACUUCCACAAUGGCUACUAAUUCUAGGUUCUAUGUUGAUGUAGAAAAUAUCCUUGAUAUUAUCUUUGGAAGCUUUGGACCAGUUACAUAGAGCAAAGCAAGCUUUUUAGGACGACAAACACUCCAAGUGCCAUCCGCAUCAACCCCUAAUUUCGGAUCUUCAUCCUCAACGAACGCACUUGAAGGAGAAAGCAAUGUUGCUGAUAAAAUUAAGAAAAAUUUAGCUUCGCCUAAUCUCUCAGGAUCCAAGAAUUCUGUGAAGGAAGAUGAUGGUACUUCAAUUGAUGGAUCCUCCCCACUUAAACCACAUACCGUGAGCCAAUCGACAAUCAAUCUAUGUGAUAAUCUAUGCUACUCUUCGUCGUCCACAAUGAUCAUGCAAAUAAUGAUGAUGAACGCUUCAUCUGUGGAAGAGCAGUUGGCACACUUGACAGAAGCAAUUGCUGGCUUGACCAAGCGCAUGCAAAAUAAAGAUGCUAGAAUUAACAAGUUGACAAAUAGAGUGGGAAUCUUGACGGAAGAAGAGUCCAUCCAUGCACCUGACAAGCUCCUAGAUGUUCUAAGGAAUGAUCCUCCCCAAGACAAUUAGCAUCUGCUAAGGCUAUCCUUAUAUCAUCUCAAGUUAUGAUUCCAAUGGAUCAACUAAAGGAGUUCAUUAAAGGGACUAUAAAAAAUAAGUAUGAAUUGCUUCCAAGUUUUCUCUUACAUACGCAAAGCCGUACACUGCAAGGAUCUAUAUGUUGAAGAUGCCUACUGGCUGUCAACCUCCAAAGUUCCAACAGUUUGAUGGAAAAGGUAAUUCAAAGCACCAUGUGCCGCACUUCGUUGAGACAUGCAACAAUGCUGGGACUUAUGGAGAUUACCUCAUCAAGUAGUUUGUCCGCUCGCUAAAAGAAAAUUCUUUUGAUUAGUAUACAGGCCUCGAGGUUGGUUCUAUUGAUAGUUGGGAUCAACUAGAGCAACAUUUCCUUAAUUGGUUUUGUAGCACAAGGCACACUGUGAGCAUGAUGGAACUUACAAAUACUCAUCAAUGAAAAGGUAAACCAGUUAUUGACUUUAUCAGUCGUUAGAGGAAUACAAGUUUCAACUGUAAAGACAAGCUUAGUGAAACUUCUGGCAUGGAGAUGUGAAUCCAAGGCAUGCAUUGGGGACUGCUCUACAUCUUGCAAGAUAUCAAGCCUAACACGUUUGAAAAAACUUGCAACUCGUGCCCAUGACAUGGAAUUGAGCAUGGCCUCUGCUGGAAAUGAAAGACUGCCUAUCUAUGAGCCUCACAUAGGAACGACAAGCAAGAAGUCAGAAAAUGGAGCAAGUUCAUACCAAAGUCUGAAAGUAAAGACACUAUGAAUGUCAACACCACCUGUGAAGUUCACAACAAAGAUGAGCAAGAAGCAGAGUACGAAAUCCCCUUCUUUUCAAAAUAAACUAAGUGAAAAGUUACUCUAAAAAAAAUGCAAGAGAAGGAGCACCCACUUCUGGAUUCUGAUGUCCCUGUAAUUUUUGAAGAACUCCUUGAGGUAGAGCUCAUUGAGCUUCCGGAGAUGAAAUGACCAAAUGACGCCGAGAAAAUUAAUGAUCAAAAUUACUUCAGAUAUUACCGACUUGUGAGUCACCCUUUGAUAAGUGCUUUGUCUUCAAGGAUAAAGUUAUGAGCUUGGCUCGUGAAGAAAAUAUCGUGCUUGAAGAUGAGAAGGUAAGUAUGAACCAAGUCUCUAUCGCCUUUGGCUCAUUCCAUCCACCUUGAAGAAAGUAAAUAAAUAAAUAUUAGAUAAUAACAAACUCAAAGUUGAUCAGCCUAAUUAGUAAUGAUGAUGAAGGUUGGAUGUUGGUGAAGCGUAGGCGCCACAAAAGAAGCCCACGAAAAGAAUCAAUCGAACAACCAAUAAGGAAAAUGAUAAAAAGACAAAAAAUAUAGAAUCCAAUUAAGCAUUUGAGGAAAGCGAAAGUGGAGGUGCACCACCCGCAAAAGCCACGACAUCUAGUGACAUUGGAGGAGUUUUUGCCAAGUUGGUUCCACACAAAUAUUUUUCAUGACAGUAUCGAGGCCUCCUGUUGCAAUGCUGAUAAAGGAGAAGCAACGAGUAAUGACUUACGCUUAAUACCAUCUUUGGAAAAUCCCAUUGAAGCUAUUCCUCAGGAAGUUAAUGUUUCCGAGAAAAAAGUCACAUUCAUGCAUGAUGAUCUUCUACUAGGUGACACUCCACAUAAUCUUCCAUUAUACAUGGUUGGUUAUAUGCAGAUGAAAGGGUUAAUCGAAUUUUGAUUGAUGGAGGAUCCUCAGUAAAACAUCUUGCCAAUGAUAAUGGAACUUGGCAUUCCCAUGGAUGAACUCUCGGAAAGCCGCUUGCUGAUUCAAGGAUUCAAUCAAGGGAGAAAAAGAGUGACAGGUGCAAUCAAAUUGGAGAUCACUAUCGGAGAUAUGGAAUCAAAUGCAUGACUGCAUAUGAUCGAUGCAAAGACGCCAUAUAACAUCUUGCUUGGAAGGUCUUGGAUACAUGAGAAUGAAGUGAUUCCAUCUACCUACCAUUAAUUUUUCAAGUACUGCAAGGAUGGGGUCGAGAAGAAGAUAACUGCUGAUGACAAGCCAUUCAUCGAGGCUGAGUGGCACUUCACCGAUUCAAAGUUCUAUUUGAGCAACUAUGUUGUGAAAUAACUAAAAGCUGAUGAUGUUAUGAAGAGUAAGAAUGACGUGUCCAUGACUAAAAGAGUCGAGGUUCCUAUUGAUAAUGACAAAGUUGUUGUUGAGAAGGUACGCCUUAACUUGAAUAAAUCUUAUAAAGGUAACAUUGAGUGUUAUGGUAAGAAAGCAACUCAUGCGCUUCUCUAUGUCCCUAAAAAGAGAAAGAUGAGGCCGAAUCAUCAAAUCUCCGAACCAAGAUGGUAAGGGGGUUAACUCUUCUGAUUAAACGAAUUGAGGCGAUAAAAAUAUCCUCAACUCUACUUGGAGGGUUUAUGGCCCAAAAUCAUUCACAGAAUGUGGCACUCUAUACAAAGCGCACAAGUGAAGGCUUUGAUCCUAAUGCUUACAGGCUAUUUGCAAAAGAUAGGUAUAAUCCUAAUGAACCGUCAAAAUUAGAGAAGCUAAUGUUAGAAACUGCUUCAAGGCAACAACGUGAAGGUCUGGGAUACAUGCUACCAUCACCUAUUCGCAUCUCUAUAAGAAGGCAAACACUAUACAUAUCACCAUGGAAGAUGAACCUGACACUUAAUAGGCUUUCCAUAUUUGAUCAACUUGAAAAAUCAAAUGUGAGGAAUUUCAUAUUUGAGAUAGUAGGUCCACUAAAGAAGAAGAACAAAUUCCAAAGAGAUCAUAAAAGCAUAAGAACACCCGCUUUGCUAAGAAUCCAGAAGAUCUCUAAGGAUUUCCAAAGUUUGGUUCCUUCUAGAAUGAGGAAACAAACAAAAUUUGUGGCUUCAUGUAAAGAGUACUGAAGGUAAAUCCAUAUACUAUGGUCUACACUAAGAAACGUGAUGAAUAUGAAGAAAGUGUAGGUUCUCCAUAUCAUGUUUCUCCACAAGACGAGCAUGGUAUUUCAUCUCUAAUGGAGGAUGAUGAGAAAUUGGAGAAUGUUUCACCGUGUUAUCAUAUAUCCUUUAACCAAGGGGACCCUCAAUAAGAUGAAGAUGAAAAAGAUGCUCCACUUGAACUUGAAGAAUGGGUAAAGACAGCAGUAGACACUUUGAAAGAAGUAAACCUGGCACUGACGAAGAACCGAAGUCUUCUUAUCUAAGUGCUUUACUAGAAGUCGAUGAAGAAAGAACUUAUAUUGAGUUACUCAAGGAGUAUAUGGAUGUAUUUGCUUGGGUUAUAAAGAGAUGCCUAGCUUGGACUCAAAGUAGCAGUCCAUCACCUUGCAGACAAGAAUGGUGAUCGUCCUAUUAAGCAAGCUCAAAAACGCUUUAGGACGGAUUUGGUUUCCCUUAUUGAAAUCGAAGUUAAAAAACUCAUCAAAUAUCGCUUUAUUUGUGAAGUUAAAUUCCCAACAUGUGUUUUAAGUGUUGUCCCUACAAGGAAGAAUGAUGACUAGAUUCGAGUGUGCUUUGAAGGGUCUCAACAAUGCGUGUCCCAAAUAUAUAUUAUUUUCUAUUCUAGAUCUGAUGAUCGAUGCUACUACUGAUUAUGAGGAGAUGUAUUUCAUGGACGGUUCAUUGUGCGACAACCAAAUCUACAUGGCACCAAAAGAUGAAGAGCUUACUGCAUUCUGCACCCCUAAGGGUAUUUAUUGCUACAAGGUAAUGCCUUUUGGCUUGAAUAAUGCUGGUGCUACUUACCGAAGGGCUAUGUAGAAUAUUUUUGAUGACCUUAUCCACAAAAAAACAUAAUGCUACGUUGAUGACUUGGUGGUAAAAUCAAGAAAGAGGAGCGACCACUUGAAAUACUUGAGAAUGGUGUUUGAGUUGCUCCGGAGGUACCAACUUAGGAUGAAUCUAUUGAAAUGAUCCUGUGGAGUUACUUUUGGAAAGUUCCUUGAUUUUAUUGUUCGACAUUGAUGGAUCGAAAUUGAUCAUGCCAAAGUAGAUGCAAUUUUGAUAAUUUUAAGCCCGUGAUAUUCAUGACAUGAAAAAUCUGCAAGGAAAGAUAGCGUAGGAGAUUCAUCUUAAACCUAGUUGGGACCAUUCAGUCACCUCAUGAAGAAAGGUGUUCCUUUAAAGUGGGACCAAGCUUGUAGAAAUACGUUUGAAAGUACUAAAACUUACUUGAUGAAGCCUCUAGUUUUGGCAACCCCUAUUCCUGAAAUGCCAUUAAUACUAUACAUUUAGGCACAAGAAAGGUUUGUUGGAGCACUGUUUGUCCAAGAAAAUAGUGAAGGGAAAGAAAAAUUCUAUUACUACUUGAGCAGGAUGAUGACACCAAAUAAGCUGAAUUAUUCACCAAUUAAAAAAUUUAUGUUUGGCGCUAGUCUUCUCAAUCCAAAAGUUGAAUCACUACUUUUAAGCUUAUGUCCGUAGUCUUGUUUCUAGAGCAAAUCCCAUCAAGUUCGUAAUGUCAAAACCUAUCCUUAGUGGUCGACUAGAAUGAUGGUACCUCCAGUUUCAACAAUUUAAAAUUUUGUACAUCCCUCAAAAGGCUAUAAAAGGACAAGCAUUAUCAGAAUUUUUAGCAGAUUAUGCUAUACUUGAUGAUUGGGAGCUAACUAACGAACUACCUGAUGAGGAUGUAAUGGUCAUUGAAGUUCAACCUCCCUGGUAUAUGUACUUUGAUGGUGUUUCUCAUCGUGGAGGAGCUGGUGCGGGCGUAGUAUUUGUCACUUCUCAAGGAGAGGUUAUGCCCUACUCUUUUAUGUUGACGCAACUCUGCUCCAACAAUGUUGCUGAGUAUCAAGCAUUAAUACUUGGGCUUGAAUAACUGUCGAAAUGAAGCAGUUACAAUUGCAAAUCAUUGGUGACUCCUAGUUAGUGAUCAACUAUCUAUUAGGUAGUUACAAGGUCAAGAAACCUGAACCACGCUCAUAUCAUGAUUAUGCUAAAAAAUGAAUAGGGUAGGUCAGUGAUGUGACGAUUCAACAUGUGCCUAGGAAAGAAAAUAAGAAAUCUGAUGCUUUAGUUGCUUUAGCUUCAUCGUUAACAUUGGCCGAUCAAGCGCAAGUACUAUCUGCCAAAAAUAGGUAGUACCGGCGCCGAAUGAGCAUGAAAGUGAGGAAAAUGAGCUCGAGCAACUUUUCACUGUUUCUGAAGGUGAGAGGGAAGAAUUGGCGACAAACUAUUAUCGACUACCUGAGUUAUAGGAUAUUUUCCAGAAAAUCCACGAAGAAGGACUGAGAUCCGCCGUUGCGUGCCAUUUUUCCUUUACUACAAGGAUACCCUAUAUAGAAUAUCAUUUGAUGGAGUACUCUUUCGAUGCUUAGGGGAAGAUGAAGCACUCCAAACUUUAAAGAAUCAUAUUCUAGGAUAUGUGGAUCACAUUAGUUUGGAUCAAAGCUCUACUUUCAUGUAAAAAGGAUGAGAUAUUAUUGGCCAACGAUGGUAAAAGAUUACUUGGAAUAUGCUCGAUGAUGCAAGGCUUUCCAGUUCUAUACAAAUUCUAUUCAUCAGUCUUAUGAAGUGAUAUAUCCAACUGUUUCAUCAUGGAACUGCGAUGUUUGGGGAUUGGAUGUCGUCAGACUGCUACCAAAAUAUUCCCGCGGACAUUUAUAUAUCUUGGUUGAAAUCGUUUACUUCUCAAAAUGGGCGGAAGCCAUUGCUCUCAAGGAAGUAAAGAAGAAGAAUGUUGCAAACUUCAUUCGAGUAAAUAUCAUCUAUCACUUUGGCAUCUCUCAUUACAUAAUAACGGAUAAUGACAAGCCAUUUGAUAGCAAGUUGAUGAACAAGAUUUGUAAUCUCUUUGGCUUCAAGAAACGUAGCGUUUCUAUGUACAAUGCUACUGCCAAUGGCCUAGAUGAGACAUUCGAUAAGACUUCAUGCAACUUGUUGAAGAAGUUCAUCUCCAAGUCCAAACAAUAUUGGCCUUACCGUAUGCAAAAAGCUCAUUGGGCGUACAGGACAAUCAUCACAUGCCAACACUAAAAACCCCUUAUUCACUUGUUUAUGAGUCGAAGCCGUUUUUCCAUUCGAGCGUCAAAUACUUCAUUACGAUUAGCUAUUCAAGAAAGGAUCACUAAUGAAGAAAAUGCUUGACUUCGACUAAUAGAGUUGGAGGCUCGUGAUGAGAAAGCGUUGGAAGCUCAACAAGUGUCUUGAACAUUAUCAAUUUUGAUUGUCUUACGCCUUCAAUAAAAGUGUUCGCCCAAGAUCCUUUCAAGUAGGAGAUCAAUUCCUUGACAUACAAAGACCCAUUAUUAUUUCCCAUAAACCUGUAGGGAAGUUCAUUUCAAAAUGGGAUGGGCCAUAUGUCGUAUAAGAGACUUAUUAAAGUGGGACUUACAAGCUAGUUGAUGCAUAUGACAUUAAUCAGCCCUAUCUAUGGAAAGUUUUUGACGAAGAAUUGUCCUUGAAGUGCAAUGCUCCUGGAUGCACAAGCCUAAACUGCAUGUCACGAAGCUCUUCAAAUUUGAGAAAAAUCUUCAAGUUGCAAAGCUCCUCAAAAUACAAGCUUAAAUUACAAGUCGAUACGCUAUUGUAUGGGCAUAAACUACAUGUUACUCUUGUCCAACAAGAGUAUAAACUUUGCACGACCUAAACAAAAAGAGAGGUCCGCUAGGUUGAAAACCUCGAAAGAGGUGGCCUAGGCAAAAAUUAGGACAUUAAAAAAACCUUACUAAUUCUGAACUACGGUAUGAUUUGAUCCUCUUCACCUAGAUACGUUGGUAGAUUAGAGUUUCAUUCUAAGUUAAGUCGCACAAGUUAAAAAUAUAUAUCACCCCAAGUGCUGUCCAGUAAAGUAUGUCGGAAUACAAUUUGCUUGUUGGCACCUAAGCAUGGGGCUUAUAUGUAUCCUUUACCUUAUCAAAAAGGUUGAUGGAUCAAUGUGGGCAAGUCUAUAGGCUCAAUAAUAGAUUAGCGUCUCCAAUGAUAUGGUUAUAGUCAUUCUGAAAUAGGCAAAAUCUUAAAGCUGAUAUUUUAAGUCCGCCGGUUGUCUUCCAAAAUUCUCCAAGUACAUAAGUUGAAUCCGUAAAAUCCAUCUAAGUCUACUCUUGAAAUGGUUCUUAAUAUAAAGGUGCUUUUAUGUCAAGGUAUCGACCUUUGAGCUGAAGCGCUCAAAGCUAAAAGUCCCAAAGUGGCUAAAUGCGAAGGUACUAAGAAUAUCCCGGAGGAAUUCGAUUUUAAAUUUAUAUAUAUCUUAAAUUUUGAAGUCUAGUUUCCGGUAAACCAAACGAUUCUUAAUUUUAAUAUUUCUACAUCAAGACAUGAUUUUUGUUUGGUAAAACUUUGCAAAUCUGAAACUGUCAUCAUGUCAGAAUCCAAAAUUGAUUUUAAAAUAUUAUAUGGGAUGAUUCUGAAGGUUUUUGAUUGGAAAUUUUGUAUGUGUCCUAUAUUUUAAAGUCUAAUUUAAUGAAUUAAGCGAUUCGUAAUUUUGACGUUUCUACUAUGAAUUAUUUUUGGUAAGACCGCGCAAAUCUAAAAUUGUCAACGCGGUGGAAUCUCAAGUUGGUUUCAAAUAUUAUUUGGUACAAUUUUAAAGGUGUUUGAUUCCGAAUUUUAGAUAUUCCUUAGAUUUUAAAUUUUAGUAUCUAAAAAAUCAAGUGGCUCAUAUUUUGAGAAUUCUACUACAAAGGUACAAAUGUUAUAAAAUGAAAUAAAUUUAGUAAAACAUGAACAAGAAAUAUAAGCAACUUAGUGAAACAUGAACAAGAAAUAUGGAUAGAGAGAAGGAAGAGAUUUUCUUCUUCAAUUGUAUAUUUUAUGCAAAAAGCUCAUUGGGCGUACAGGACAAUCAUCACAUGCCAACACUAAAAACCCCUUAUUCACUUGUUUAUGAGUCGAAGCCGUUUUUCCAUUCGAGCGUCAAAUACUUCAUUACGAUUAGCUAUUCAAGAAAGGAUCACUAAUGAAGAAAAUGCUUGACUUCGACUAAUAGAGUUGGAGGCUCGUGAUGAGAAAGCGUUGGAAGCUCAACAAGUGUCUUGAACAUUAUCAAUUUUGAUUGUCUUACGCCUUCAAUAAAAGUGUUCGCCCAAGAUCCUUUCAAGUAGGAGAUCAAUUCCUUGACAUACAAAGACCCAUUAUUAUUUCCCAUAAACCUGUAGGGAAGUUCAUUUCAAAAUGGGAUGGGCCAUAUGUCGUAUAAGAGACUUAUUAAAGUGGGACUUACAAGCUAGUUGAUGCAUAUGACAUUAAUCAGCCCUAUCUAUGGAAAGUUUUUGACGAAGAAUUGUCCUUGAAGUGCAAUGCUCCUGGAUGCACAAGCCUAAACUGCAUGUCACGAAGCUCUUCAAAUUUGAGAAAAAUCUUCAAGUUGCAAAGCUCCUCAAAAUACAAGCUUAAAUUACAAGUCGAUACGCUAUUGUAUGGGCAUAAACUACAUGUUACUCUUGUCCAACAAGAGUAUAAACUUUGCACGACCUAAACAAAAAGAGAGGUCCGCUAGGUUGAAAACCUCGAAAGAGGUGGCCUAGGCAAAAAUUAGGACAUUAAAAAAACCUUACUAAUUCUGAACUACGGUAUGAUUUGAUCCUCUUCACCUAGAUACGUUGGUAGAUUAGAGUUUCAUUCUAAGUUAAGUCGCACAAGUUAAAAAUAUAUAUCACCCCAAGUGCUGUCCAGUAAAGUAUGUCGGAAUACAAUUUGCUUGUUGGCACCUAAGCAUGGGGCUUAUAUGUAUCCUUUACCUUAUCAAAAAGGUUGAUGGAUCAAUGUGGGCAAGUCUAUAGGCUCAAUAAUAGAUUAGCGUCUCCAAUGAUAUGGUUAUAGUCAUUCUGAAAUAGGCAAAAUCUUAAAGCUGAUAUUUUAAGUCCGCCGGUUGUCUUCCAAAAUUCUCCAAGUACAUAAGUUGAAUCCGUAAAAUCCAUCUAAGUCUACUCUUGAAAUGGUUCUUAAUAUAAAGGUGCUUUUAUGUCAAGGUAUCGACCUUUGAGCUGAAGCGCUCAAAGCUAAAAGUCCCAAAGUGGCUAAAUGCGAAGGUACUAAGAAUAUCCCGGAGGAAUUCGAUUUUAAAUUUAUAUAUAUCUUAAAUUUUGAAGUCUAGUUUCCGGUAAACCAAACGAUUCUUAAUUUUAAUAUUUCUACAUCAAGACAUGAUUUUUGUUUGGUAAAACUUUGCAAAUCUGAAACUGUCAUCAUGUCAGAAUCCAAAAUUGAUUUUAAAAUAUUAUAUGGGAUGAUUCUGAAGGUUUUUGAUUGGAAAUUUUGUAUGUGUCCUAUAUUUUAAAGUCUAAUUUAAUGAAUUAAGCGAUUCGUAAUUUUGACGUUUCUACUAUGAAUUAUUUUUGGUAAGACCGCGCAAAUCUAAAAUUGUCAACGCGGUGGAAUCUCAGUUGCAUCUCUUCCAUUUGGCCAAUAUAUUUGUUUGUAUUCGACAAACUUAAGAUCAUCAUCAAUAUUUAGCGCUAUCAUAGAUGUCGUCGACGAACAUUUUAUAUCAGUUCCAAUAAAUUUUCAUNNNNNNNNNNNNNNNNNNNNNNNNNNNNNNNNNNNNNNNNNNNNNNNNNNNNNNNNNNNNNNNNNNNNNNNNNNNNNNNNNNNNNNNNNNNNNNNNNNNNNNNNNNNNNNNNNNNNNNNNNNNNNNNNNNNNNNNNNNNNNNNNNNNNNNNNNNNNNNNNNNNNNNNNNNNNNNNNNNNNNNNNNNNNNNNNNNNNNNNNNNNNNNNNNNNNNNNNNNNNNNNNNNNNNNNNNNNNNNNNNNNNNNNNNNNNNNNNNNNNNNNNNNNAACUUAAUAUGAGCAUUUGCAAUGAGAAUAUAGUUACUUUCUUUGGGUCAGCAAAUGCGUGUGGCAUGCUUUGCAAUAUGUUGCAAUUGAAUUAUAUUUUAUGAACUUCAAGUUCAUAUUAUGAUAUUCGAGGAUCAAUAUAUACAAAUGAUAAUCCGUUCCAUGUAACUUUUUCUCAAGUGUUUAUCAUGUCUCCCCCUNNNNNNNNNNNNNNNNNNNNNNNNNNNNNNNNNNNNNNNNNNNNNNNNNNNNNNNNNNNNNNNNNNNNNNNNNNNNNNNNNNNNNNNNNNNNNNNNNNNNNNNNNNNNNNNNNNNNNNNNNNNNNNNNNNNNNNNNNNNNNNNNNNNNNNNNNNNNNNNNNNNNNNNNNNNNNNNNNNNNNNNNNNNNNNNNNNNNNNNNNNNNNNNNNNUCUCGUAUAUAACGUAUAUCAAAUUGAUAUAGAUAACUUUGUUCUCAUAAGCAAUAGUUUAGCUAUUAAGUGGAGGCACUCAAUAAAUUCUUGUCCAAGAUUUUUGAUUUCAGGUUGAGUCUAACUCAGUAAAUGCAGGUAAAAACAAAAAUCUUGAGAACUGCAGAGAAAACGGUGUGGGUGUUCCAGUUGUUGAUAUUCCACUACGAAACCUUGGAAAUGCACCAAAACCAAUUCCCAUGGAUGCGGUCUCACGCGACUCCCAACACGUCGAUAUUAGCUCCCAUACUAACAAGAGCGUGCACCUAGGAGAUCAUAUAAAAACUCAGAAAACCUUGACUAAGGAAGAAUAAGAGGUGAGCCUUCAUGUUAUUUUUAAUAGGUUACACGUACAGCAGCUGGCGAUUGCUCAGCUUCAGAGUCUACGGAAUACUCAUAGCACGAUAACACCAGGCAUGGCCCCACCAGCCGAGCAGGUACCCGAGAGAUCGAGCAACAACAGAUCGGCAGCCGACCCUGCUAUCGUAAAGAUGCUCGAAGAUCUCGUAAAGAGGAUCAAGUUACGCGAGAAGAUGAUAGAAGCCAACAACAAGAAGGUCGAGACCUAUAACUCCAGGGUUGAUCGAAUUCCAGGCGCACCACCAAUCCAGAAAGGUGCGGAUUCAUAGAUGUUCGCACAGAAGCUGUUCCCAAAGGAAGCAACUCCAAAUUCCUUCCCAAAGAAGUUCAUAAUUCCAGACCUUCUAAAGUAUAAUGGAAUCUCAGAACCCAAUGAUCACGUUACUCCUUACACCUGUGCUGUGAAGGGCAACACAUGAAAGACGACGAGAUUGAGUAUGUAUUGCUGAAGAAGUUUGGAGAAACACUUUCUAAAGGGGAAAUGAUGUGGUAUCACAACCUAGCCCCAAACUCAAUCACUUGUCAUGCUGGCAGAUUCUUAAUUAAGGCACAUGCCAGUGCCAUAAAAGAAGCAACAAGGAAAUCCGAUAUCUUUAAGAUGAAGCAGAGGGAGAACGAAAUGUUGUGAGAGUUCGAAUCCCCUUUCCAAAUGUAACUUCUACCGGUCUUUGACAAUUGGGUAGUACAAACUUUCACUCAAGGUCUAAAUGAACGGAGCUAGGUGGCUUCAAAGUAGCUGAAACAGAAUCUGGUUGAAUAUCUUGCCGAGAUCUGGACAUACAUUCACAAUCGAUAUCAAUCUAAAAUCAAGGUCGAGGAUGACCAACUAGGAGCCCUCUUAGGCUCGGUAUACCCAAGAAGGCUUCUGGCAAAGGAGCCAAAACCAAAAAAAUAAAGGUAGCAGUAAUACAUCGACGACAGGAGAAACGCCUUGAGAUUAACAUACCCUGCAAUGAUCGAAGGAUGGACUGAGGCAAGAAUACUCGGGGACUCAUCAAUAAAGCUAGGUUCGAUAAGUACACAGAGCCAACAGAAGUAAACCGUUUGUUAGAUUACAACUUCAACAUCGAUGUAUCAUACAUCGUGUUUGCCAUCAGUAAAGUCAGGGAUGCUAGUUGUCCCAGGCUUGUGAAAUCAGAUCCUUCACAAAGGAAUUAUAACUUAGUGUGCGAAUUUCACAACAAGCACGACCAUAGGAUCAAGGAUUGCUACUAGCUCCUGGAAAAAGUAGCCUGACUACUUAGUAAAGGUCAUAUCUAAGAAUUCAUCAGCGAUCGGACCUAAAAUGAGUUCAAGGAAAGAGAGGCAACCAAGAAGGAAAAAACAAAUGAGCCACAACAUGUCAUCCUCAUAUGAUUUUGGAGGCAUCGAUGCCCCCAAGAGCCCAUGAUGAGAAGAAAAAAUUAUCUAUCACCAGGGAAAAGUGAACUCGGGGCUACAUACCCGAGGACGCUCUAACAUUUAGUGACAAGGACAUCAAGACCUUGUCUCAGCCUGGCAACGAUGCACCGAUAAUAUCUUUCCUUGUAAAUACAUUUCAAAUUAAACGCAUAUUUAUGGAUACAGGUAGCCUGACCAAUAUUCUCAGGUUGAGGGUGAUAGAGUAGCUCGGACUGCUUGAACAAAUUGUGCCCGACUCUCGAGUCCUCAAUGGAUUCAAUAUGCCAUGCAAAAUGACAAAAAAGGCAAUCACCCUCCCGGUCAACGUGACCGGAAUGACCUAAAAUGCCAAAUUCCAUUUCAUCAAAAGAGACAUGUGGUAUAACGCCUUGAUCGGAAGGCCGUGGAUACACUGCAUGAGAGAGGUAUCAUCCACCCUCCAUAAAAUGAUGAAAUUCCUGACAAAGGAUAGGAUUAAAACCGUCUAUGGGGAACAAUGUGUGCAGUAAAAAUGUUCGCAGUGCACGAUAUAGCCCCGACACCAGCACAUCUACCUUCGAAGGAGCCGAAGGAUAGGAAAGAUGUGAAAUAGCAAUAGAAAGCUACUUCUUUGUUUCAGCCCGACUAAACAAAGCAGAGGACGGUACGGCGUCCUCAUCAUUGGCGACCGAAAAACAUCGGGGCUCGAAACAUCGCUGGCAUAUUCUAGACUUAGGAAUGUCCAUCUCCCAUUUCAUUUUAUAUACUUCAUACUAACCUUUAUGCAGGCGUCCAAUCGAUGUAGAUAAAAUUCUAACCCAUCCCGAAGACCUUAAGGUUUUAAAUUAUCUGCUGCACUCUUUUACUUCGACCAGGUUCUUAUCCCAAAAAAGGUUUUACCGGAAGGGUUUUUAAUGAGGCAACAUCCAUAUGCUACCAAAGGAGGACUCAACAAGUAUUCUAGUUUUCUUUUGCAUCCCACCUCAAAUAUUGGGGGGCAUCCCCCUAUAAGGUCACCUACUCGGAGAAGCCUAUAUACACCAAAUAAGGUCUCAAAAGAAAAUGAUGUAUUGGGCCAAAUAGUCGAACGAACAGGUCCAUAUAGAAUAAACGAGCCCUUGAUGGCGAAGUCAUGUAAACUUAUACCAAGUAAUCGAAGAAUACUUUUCUUAAAAGCAUUUCACGCUUCAAAAGAAACUCGGCAUUUUCGAAGAAAUGACUUCUCUGUCAAAAACGUCCCGAACACUCAGGACUUGCAUCAACAAUUCAACACCUGAACAAUCGCCGGGUCGGAACUCCAAACUCAUAAGCCCUCAAUGAGGAAACAUCAAAAUCACAAAACGUCUCUAAAGCUGAAAGUGUCCCCAACACUUCAGGACUGGCAUCAAAAUCUAGAAAACAACAAGAUCCCCGGGUCUGAAACUUUAGAAUUGUAAUCCCUCAAUGAGGCAAUUCCAAGUUUGAAUGAACUGGCUCCCUAGCCGAGGAAGCCUCGAUAACUCGGGGACUACAUUUAGUUGCCAUCUCUAUCUACUUAUCAAAAACACGAGGCCAUAAGACCCCAAGCGGGUAGACUUGAUUUUGUAAGACCUAUAUAAGGCAACAACAAUAUUUGUAAGACCUCAAGCAAGGCAUGAACCAUACUUGUACCAAGUAUCCAAAACAGUAUGACCUCGAAGGAAUGUAAAACUUGUAAGACCUUACUAAAGGCAUAAAUCAAAUCUCAAAGUUAAGGUUAUUUCGAACUUGUAAGAGCUUUAAAAGGCAUGCGCAUGAUAUAUACGUCGAGACUACUUCACUCGGGAUUAAAAAUGGCUCCGUCCAAGCACGAAUGACUACAAUCAUAUGGAUGUACCAUGUUAUCUCCUAAACGCUCUCGACAUCAGCAAAAAAGCUUUGACCAUGUUAGCUCCUAAACGCUGGCUUCGAGAUACUCAGCCUUCUAGCCAAACCUUCUGAGGUGCUUGAUCAACGCCAUAUAACGACUCGUAAUCGAGGUUUUUUUUUUAUUAAAUUGUCAAAGAGUCAGGCAAACACUAUUUCAAACAAUCCUUAUCGAGGGAAAAAUAAAGUCUAUAAUAGGUCGCAGCGACCUAUCGUGUAAGAGUCUAUAUUGCCAGCCCAUAUUAAAGGUCGCAUCGACCCAAGGCAUAAGAGCCAUUGUUUCCAGCCCACAUAAAAGGUCGCAUUAACCUAAGGUGUAAGAGCCAUUGUGUCCAGCCUACAUAAAAGGUCGUACCGACCCAACGUGUAAGAGCCUAAGGGCCGGUUUGAAAUUAUAAAACUUGAGGGUCAAAUGAUCUCGAGUCCAUGCUCAAAACAAUUAGAAAGUAUGCCCGAGAGCAAAAGCGAAAGAACUCAAAAGCCGGUUUAAAGGUCACAUCAAACAAAAGCCUAAAAUCCACUAUCGCCAACCUAAAAUUCGACAUCUUAAAUGUCAAAUGAGCUUGAGUUGAUACCCAAAUCAGAGACUAAGCCUAAUAUAGUUGGUCAAAAAAUGCCUAAGAGCAAUCAUAAAAGCUCAAACACUGGCUUAUACUAAAGGCUUAUAUCGGCCAAGCGUGUAAGAGCCUAUGGGCCGGCCUAACGAGCCUCAAAGCAGUACUAUAAAUAUAAGGAUUCCUUCUAACUCAAAGACCAGUUCAUCUAGCCUAAUUCAUGACAGAAAGAGAUGAAAAAGAAAUAAAACUGUAAGGUUUCCUUUUGUACACAUAUACAAAAAAACAGAAGAUCCAUCAACAAACGCGUUUUGAAAAUGCUAUAUAUAGGAUUAGAAAGUAAAAUCUACGUCCCCAAUAGGGGAUAUGGACCGUAAUCUUCAUCUUUUCUAUCCUCAGCGUCAGACAGAAGUAACCGAGCACUAUGCUCGUCCGCCCUUGCCCUAUCAACUCUUCAAAGAGGUCAAAUCCCCUAGCACGGAUCUCCUUGAGGGUUUUCCUCCGAAAAUUACACCAAGCAUAUUCUUUGCACAUGUCUUCGUAGUCAAGGAUCCUUCUCAUCUCAGCUUCAGCAUCGGUAGCAUCAUUUAAAUAGAAUGCCACGUUCUGGUCAGCCUUAGUUUGGAUCAUUACGGCUUUAGCCCGGGUGUCCAUAAUCUGGCCUUGAACAUCAAAAGCUCGGAGUCAAGCUUCGUAAUCAACUCUGUUGCAGCCAAUGUAUUAUCAUGGCCUAAGCAAAGUUGAACCUCAAAGGCUGAAGCUUUAGCUAGAGCACCCUUCCCUACUAAAGCUUAUACCGCCUCCCAAGCUUUUAGCUCAUAAUGCUCACACCUGGCUCGGCUAAAAUCGUUCCAAAGGCGCGCUAGGUCCUCUGUUAUUUUCUACGAUUGAAAUAAAUAAAACAUUUGCGUCAGGAGCUAGAAAAAAGAACAUACACUCACUCAGAAAAAAAAUAUCUUCUCCUUCAAGAAGCUUUCAUAAUUUAAGCUUUGAUUCGCUUCAUACCAUAAGUGUGCCAAAUCGACUUCCCUUUCAUAUCAAAGGAGCAUAAGGUAUUUCUCCUUAUCCAGAGCUUUCCGCAGCCUGGCGUCACGGUGAAGCAGCUCUGAACUAAGCUUGUCGAAGGCCUGCAAAUGAAUACACAAUGAGAAAGGGAAGGUGAAAAACAUAAAAGGGGCUUGUGCUAAAAAUAACCAUAUAGUGAAGCCGUUGAGUUUACUCGAAGGUCGAGCGCACAUAUGCCGGAAUGGCUCCCUUAGUCCUGGAAGAAUCGAUCCUGGUUGGGAUACAGUCACUCGGUGUAUAUGAUCCGGGGAUUUGUAUAUUUCUUGAAGUACCUUCGAUGGAAAAACAAGACGGCAUCGGAAGAGAAACCACCUUUCCAUAACAAAAAAUCGCGGGUGAAGCAGGCUCAGUCAAUGCAUCCUGUUCAAGCCCCCUAUGUGGGUUCGUCUUGCUUUGAGUACCAUCGCCUGACAAAGGUAUUUCUUGCUUGUUUUUAUCAUUAUUUAACCCAGAAGCCAGUAAUCCUUCUCCCUCUCCUAAAAGGUAUAACCUCGUUUUGAGGGACUCCCCAAUGCCUAAACCUAGCUAGUAUACAGAAAGAAAAAAGUGUCCUUCCUAGAAGGGUGGGGGGGGNNNNNNNNNNNNNNNNNNNNNNNNNNNNNNNNNNNNNNNNNNNNNNNNNNNNNNNNNNNNNNNNNNNNNNNNNNNNNNNNNNNNNNNNNNNNNNNNNNNNNNNNNNNNNNNNNNNNNNNNNNNNNNNNNNNNNNNNNNNNNNNNNNNNNNNNNNNNNNNNNNNNNNNNNNNNNNNNNNNNNNNNNNNNNNNNNNNNNNNNNNNNNNNNNNNNNNNNNNNNNNNNNNNNNNNNNNNNNNNNNNNNNNNNNNNNNNNNNNNNNNNNNNNNNNNNNNNNNNNNNNNNNNNNNNNNNNNNNNNNNNNNNNNNNNNNNNNNNNNNNNNNNNNNNNNNNNNNNNNNNNNNNNNNNNNNNNNNNNNNNNNNNNNNNNNNNNNNNNNNNNNNNNNNNNNNNNNNNNNNNNNNNNNNNNNNNNNNNNNNNNNNNNNNNNNNNNNNNNNNNNNNNNNNNNNNNNNNNNNNNNNNNNNNNNNNNNNNNNNNNNNNNNNNNNNNNNNNNNNNNNNNNNNNNNNNNNNNNNNNNNNNNNNNNNNNNNNNNNNNNNNNNNNNNNNNNNNNNNNNNNNNNNNNCGAUGUAGCAUGUAUUGUGGUGUUUUGCCUCCCACCUAUUCCAAGAUAAAACUUUCCACUUAUGCUAAUUAUAUGUCGAGUGGCUCGCCAACUUGCAAACCCAGUUCUGUAGAUCAGGAACCUUGCCCGACAUCCAUAAAAUCGCAAGAGAAAAGGAAAAGAAGGCAAAUUUUAUGAAGCUAGCCUUCACCAUAAACAAAAUUUAGAAGGCAAGAGUGUAUCACUUACAUGUAUAAUUCCAUUCCUCAGGGAAUGAAAUAUACUCUACGGGGAUAAUAUCAACGGUCCAUACUUGGACGAACCGACUCAUCCAUUCAUGAUCUCUAUAUUUGUCAGUAUCAACGAUGAAAGACGUGGUCGACUGGCAUCAUAUGGUUAGUAGACCUCUAUAGUGAAAAGGCCGGUACAACCUGGUAAGAUGACUGAGUUGAAUUCAACCCUUGACUUCUUUACAAAGAACCUUAUAAUCACUACUAUACGCAUAAAUGAUGGGUGAAUUUCUGCUAGGGUAACUCGAUACUUUUGACAGAAUUCAAGCACAACUCUAUCAAGGGGUCCCAGUAUAGUGUACACAUUCAAAAAUCCCUCGAUGCGGUCCGCGAUGCUCUUUUCCAGGGAAGGUAUCUACAAUACUACAUUUUCUUCCCGUCCACAGUCCUUCCUAACCAACUCAAGUUGCUUCUCUACUAUUAAAGAAAUGAACUUUGAGGAAUAAUACCAAUAACCUCGAAUGUUGGGAGUCUCUUCUGAUGGAAGAUUCACUCAUGAAACAAAGUGUCAGGAGGCAAAGCUCGUUUCUCCUUGUUAAACGGAUUCAGGCAUAGCAGCCAUACCUAUAGUAAAAUGAAGGAUGGGAAAAUGACGGCUUGGGUGGAAGCUUUGAGUUAAAGGAAAAGUGGCGUAAUAAAGAAGAAAUUUAUAAGAGAGGAUAGCUGCCUAGAAUAUCAGAAUCUCCAAAAGCGCGAGGAUAACACAAUAUAUGGGAAAAGCAGUGACCACCUCCCUGCCCCAAAGUCUGACUAGAAAUAUUGGCUAGAGCUUUUAUCACUUUGGAAAGAUACACUGGCAGAAUCACCUCGGGAAAUAUUGCCAUACGAUACUUCAAAGCCGAAAACCCCAUGUCAACAAAGUCCCGAGGUAGUACCCGACCUCGAGGACCUCCGUCAAAAAAAUGUUAGGCUCCACGAAGCCAUUCACAUUAUUCCAAGUCCCGAGGUGGUGCCUGACCUUGAGGACCUACAUCAAAAUGAAGUUAAGCUCUAGGAAGCCAUUAGCAUCAUUCUAAGUCCCGAGGAGGUACCUCGAGGAUCUUUAUUAAAAAAAGGUUAGGCUCCAGGAAGCCAUUAGAAUACAUAUAUGUCCCGAGGUGGUACCCGACCUCGAGGACCUUCAUAAAAACGAAGUGAGGCUCCGUGAAGCCAUUGGCAUCAUUGCAAGUCAGGAGGUGGUACCAGACCUCUAGGACCUCUAAGAGAAGAAGACAAGCUCUAAGUAAACCAUUACAAGUCUCGAGAUGGUACCCAAUCUUGAGGACCUCCACAAAAAGGGAGAUAAGCUCUCAUACCCACUUGUAUGGGUUCAACCUCGAGGAAUCUGAGCAACCCCUGCGGGGUCUAAAAGGCUACGUCUUGUCCCAAAGGUGAAAAGCCGUACUCCUAUUCAACUCAAGGUCGUGGGUCCCAACGGCCUGAGUUUAUCAGUCCAAUCCGGGCUCUGUCCAAGGACUGACAAAAGGUUUCAUGGUAAAUCGUCUUAGUCAGUCAAGAUCCGGAGAGAUGCUCGUACCCGGGCUCGACAUUUGCACCAACCAGUAUACCCAUGAAAUAAGAUUGUCCAGAAAUGUAAAUAGAAGGAAACCUAGCAUAAAUCAAAGACAUAAUUGAAGAAGCAUCUUUAUAUUGAUAAACACUUGAUUACAAAAGCAUACACAAUUAAAGUCUAGAGCCUAGCCUAUUUUUCGAGGAGCAUCCUCGAUGGCAGUAUAUUCUAGUGUCAUCUUCUUGGGGGUCUUGUUUUAGUCUUCCACAAUGAUAUCUCCGAGGGAGACGAUGAAGAAGAGAAAAGUGAAAGAAUUAGAAAGGGAUGAAGUUCCACACCAAGCCAGGGUACGAGAGUAACCAGCAGUGUAUAAUCACCACGCCCUCCUGAGAAAUGGUGUAGAGUCCAAACGUCCUCCUAAGCCGGAAGACGUCGGUGUCGCACUUCCUUUUCUACCCACCCGAAGGGGUAUAAGGGAGUUUUUCCAAUUAAAGUGACAUUAUUUGAAAUGGAAUUAUUUUAUUUAAUCAGAGUCGCCACUCGAGAUAAUUAUGGUGUCCCAAGUCACCAGUAAUUUCUAAAUCCCAAAUUGAGAAAAAUCAACUUUAUUUAAAAGUUUGCGAACCAAAAAUUCUUAAUAAGGAAUUCUAUUAAUUCGGGAGGAGGUUUUAGGCCUUCCCGGGUUCUGUGGUCAAGCACGGCUGCUUAGUGAUUCUUACAUGGCUUAAAUGAUUUAACUACUCAUUUUUAGGAAUAUGAGAAUUUAUCAUUUUACCUCUUUUAAUCACUUAAUUAUUCGUAAAUAAAGAAUUGAGUUAGGCGUACGUAUACUCUUUUAUUUUGGUGCAUCAAAAAUCAUGAAACGUGAACGUGUACACAAUUAAUAACACUUUAUUGAUUUUAUUUAAGAAAGAUUUGGUUGGUUGCGUGAAAGAAUACCUAGAGUUACGUUUUUGAAUAAAUGUGCAAUUUAUGUUACGUGGACAUCUACAUAAUCGUAAUACUAAUCUAAAUCGAGCCUAAUGAAAACUACGAUUAUUUAUGAUUAUUUUAAUGCUAAGUUAAGAUUAAAGUGAGGGUUAUAGGAUAAGGAUUUUUUUUAAUAUGGCACAAUUUGAAUUAUUUGGACAGCUGGUACACUUUCUAGAAUAUUCUCAUAUUUUUUCAAUGUAAAAGUCCAGUAUAACCUUUUAAAAUCUGCUUAUUUAAUUUUUACCUGCACUUUAUUGGUUAAGUUAGGUCCCUUAGGUUCCUAUUUUUGGAAAAUCGCAACCAACAUAGAAAACCAUAGUUAACACACAUGAAAAGAUUAAAGGAAUAGACUAUUGAGCAAACAACCUUUAAAUUAAAACUAAAAUCAAUUGACAUGAACAAAAUAAAAAAUGAAACAAACAUAGAAGAAAUGUUUAAACCUAAUACAUUAGAAAUAAAACAAGAACAUAAUAAAACUUUAAACCUAAUAUUAGCAGAGUUUCAAAGGAAAAUUAUUUAACCUACGUACAAGUAAUAAAACUUAGAAAUUAGAAACAGAAAAAGGGAACUUAAGUCAUGCAGCCAAAUUAGCAAUAGAACCAAUUGAAAAGAAACAACCCAUAAUUUAAACUAACCUGGCUAAAUUAUCCUAAAUGUCUCGAACUAUAUUUAAUUAAAAUGAUUGACUAAUUAAACGUGAUUUACUAAAGUCCGAAGAAGCCAACAAUUCAAACAAACUAGACUGAUACCUAAAAAUAAAAAUAACCAACUAAAGAAAAGAUGAGAAGAAACACAAACGUCUUGAUUUUUUUCGGAAAAACUCGAACCAACAGAGCGAAACAACGAACAGAGGUUUUUUGAGAUCCUUGGUCGGUCAGUACAUGACUUGGUCGGAAUUCAAUGGUCUCGAAAUAAGCAAAAACUUAUACUAAUUGAUUGCUCUCGUCAAGAAUAAUUGAUUAGCAUGUCUUUUAACUCAAAUUGAGCCUGCAACCCCCUAAAACCAAAAAGAAGAAGAAAAUUUAGGGUUUGGUAUUUUCCAUAAGAAUUUAGAUCCGAAAUUAGGGUAAAUGGGUAAGGACGCAAUUGAUGAUGGAUAUAUGAUGAUGAGGCUAUGGUGGUUCCCUGGUUAGAAGAUGGGGGUGUUUGGAACAGCGUUGCCAGCCGGUGGUGUUUGGGCAUUAGGGUGCGGCAAAGGUUUGGUAUUGUGAGAGAAGAGAGAAUGAAUGAGAGGAUAAUGAGGGCUUAGGGGUUUUUUUUGGAUAGUAAAAUUGUAGGGAAUUAAUCAUUUCCUAACCGUUAGAUCCACGAUGAUCAGCUGUUGGGAUUUAAAAGGGUUUAAAUGGGGUUGUUUAGGGGAGUGGGAUUUUGACCGGGUAAGCUGGUGAUGCAAGCCUGGUUUUGGGUGACUUUUGGGCUGGAUUGGGGUGCACACAUCAUAUUUAAUAAUUUAAAAGAAACCCCUUUUGAAAUACCUCUUUUUAUUCCUUUUCUUUUCUUUUCUCUUUUUCUUUUUUCUUUUUAAGAAAAAUCCUAAAAUUGAAAACCUCAAUUGAUCACAAAAUUUGAAGUUAAACUAAUUACCUAAUUGAAAAAAUUAUAAAAAUAACUUAAUUCUAAAUUAAAAGAUAAAAACCAAUAAACUAAAUAAAAAAAGGAGAAAAAUGAAAAAUGAGCUAUUUUUGUGAUUUUCAAAUUUUUAUAAAACAAACAAUUACUGAUUAAUCCAAAAAUAUAAGAAUAAAGGCUAAAGACCAUGCAUAACAUUUUGGGUUUUUAUGAUUUAAAUACAAAUUAAACAUGCACAAAAAUGCAAACAAUUAAUAAAAUUCUACAGAAAUGCCUAAAAAUAACCAAUAAUUAUGAAAAAAUCUACUUUCUUGGAUUCUAUAGUAGUAAUUUAUAUAGGGCAACAAUCACAUGCUCACGGCAGCCCCUCUUUGCUCGAAAAAACAAAGGGUUUUCAGAAAAAAAAAAAUAUAAGCAAUCACGAGAGAUUUUGCCCUUUCGAAACUCCAAUGGAAGCAUCUUUUGAAAAAGCCUAGUCGAAACUUGCUUCGAAGGUUGUCUACAUAUCGUUUGCUGUAAAGGAAUAAGGAGAGUAUAGUUCUGGAAGUUUUUAUAGCUGGGACUACCGGGUAACUGUGAUUUCUCUUCUCUUGUUAUUUUUUCUGCUUGCUGAGAUCCUUAUUAGAGUUACAAGAUUUCUAUUGAAAUCUUCUUAAUCUUGAUGCUCAUUAGCUGCAACCGCUAGUUCAUUCUUCUUUAGCUUUUUUGGAUCAAGGCGGGACAUGCGAAGCUUGUGACUUCAAUCAAAUUUUGAGCAGUCCGCAUAUUUUCUCGGCUUCUGUACCUUGAGCUUAACUUCUUUUCUUAUUUCUUCUUUUCUUUUAUUUGGGGUGAAACUUCUGCUUUUGGUCAUCUAAAACCUUGCACCUCAUGGUGAAAACCGAUUCAGACACUAAUGUAAGCAAACGAACGAAAAGUUUCUGCCCGAGUUUUCAUUAUGAAUGUUUCGUGAGUUAUUGUAAAGAAAAUCUACAUUAUUUCAUUAUUGAAAGCAAUAAAAUUAGGACUACGUAUCCUUGGGAAAAAGUGAUUAAGAAGUGGAGUCCUAUAUCUAUACUGAAAUCAACUAGGGAGUGGAGACCCUAUGAUUGAAAAGCAGAGUAGGGAGUGACGACCCUAUGCCUAAAAUAAAAUCAACUAGGGAGUGAAGACCCUAUGUUGGAAAGGCGACUAGGGAGUGGAGACCGUAUGUCUAAAAUAAACUCAACUAGGGAGUGGAAACUAUGUGUUGGAAAGGAGACUAGGGAGUGGAAAUCCUAUUUGUAAAAUAAACUCGACUAGGAAGUGCAGACCGUAUGUUGGAAAGGCGACUAAGGAGUGGAGACCAUAUGUCUAAAAAUACGCUCAACCAGGGAGUGGAGACCGUAUGUUUGAAAGGCGACUCGGGAGUGGAGAGCCUAUGUCCAAGAUAAAAUCAAUUAGGAAGGGGACACCAUAUAUCUAAAAUAAACUCAACUAGGGAGUGGACAACUUAUGUAUAAAAUGCGACUAGGGAGUGGAGACUCUAUUUCUUAAAUAAACUCAACUAGGAAGUGAAGAUCCUAUGUUGGAAAGGCAACUAGGGAGUGGAGACCUAUGUUUACAAUAAAAUCAACUAGGGAGUGGAGACCAUGUAGUCGAAAGGCGACUAUGAAAUUGUAACCCAAUGUCUAAAAAUAAACUCAACUAGGGAUUAGAGUCCGUAUGUUGGAAAGUCGACUAGGGAGUGGAGACCCUAUGUUUAUAAAUAAACUAAUCUAGGGAGUGAAGAGCCUAUGUUGGAAAGACGACUAGGGAAUGGAUACCCUAUGUCUAAAAAUAAACUCAACUAGGGAGUAGAUACGCUAUUUUGAAAAGGCGACUAGGGAGUGGCGACCCUAUGUUAAAAAAUAAACUCAACCAGGGAGUGGAGACCCUAUGUUGGAAAAAACGUAACUAGAGAUUGGGGACCCUAGGCUACCAUUUUUUGAAUUUCUUCCUUUUUUUUGUUUACUUCACUUUUCAUUUUUAUUUAGGAAUAUUAAUGAAGAUUUUCUAAUGAAUUCCUUUUUCGGGUCAAAUUUUGUUGCAGAAUCGUUUUGGUUUCUGUGUGCCUUGCUUUUAUUGCACCUGCACCUUACGUGGUUGUUUUAGACUACACCUAUUUCAUCUUUUUGAACAAAGCAAAAUUGCUAAUUUUAAGUUGUAGUUAGUUUUAUUGCCUUGAUUGUUUUGAUUUUGGCCCAAUUGUUUUGAUGAAAACCUCUACUGCUUGAUGGUUUUUCGGAGACUGGUCCCUCUUCUAAAAUCAGGGACAUUGACUUUCCAAACUUUCAUACGGAGGUUCAACCAUGUGGGGAUUUGGCCUUUUCAUAUUAUUAUGCCUUUAUGGUCACUUGACUUUGGAUUUCUUUCCUUUUCCAUAAUUUUGACUUUGGAGCAUCGGCCAUCAUGGCCAGUUGAGAUUGACUUGAUGCACCUUCUGAGGCUGGGUGCUUUCCUUUGAAUUGGGAUUUUGUUAUGCAGAUCCCUAUAAAACCAAUCUUUCCAUCUUUUCUUUGUAUAAGUUUCAGAGAAGAACUAAACCUAAUGGGAUUUAAAGAAAAGUGAACAAAGGAGAGUAUAACUGAAUUUAACAAGAGGUUUCCCUUUCGGGGAAGAACUGAGGACUUAUCUGGAGUGCAUAUAGACUUCAAUAGACAUGAAAUGCUUCUUGGACUGGAUACCUGAUUGGAGCGACCGUCCAAUUUCUCAUAAGCCCAACAUAACAAGUGUCUUAAAAUCGAGAAAUCUUGCCGGGACUCCACUAAUGCGAAUGGUUGUUGCGGAUUCCCCCUUUUCAAUAAAUUAUGCCCUUUACGUGUUUUUUCCAAUUGACCUCUCUCAUUUCUAUUCUUACCGUUGCUUCAUAGUUCUCUUUGCGUGGUUUCACUGACAAGACUCGCUCAUUUUUAGUUUCUCUGCUCACUGUCGCCUUAUGGUGUCGUAAUGAGUUUUUACCAUUAAGACUCUUUCAUUUUGGUUGCAUUGGAUCCAAGUAGCUAUGUUCUCUAAUUUUGAACAUCUUUUACCAAUUGAUCGGAAGGAGUUGAACAAGAUUUGUGUAAAAAAGAAUUUGGAUCGAAUAAUAACAUUUAGAACCAUUGAGGCGGGAUUAUCGUGGAACCAUUAUAAAUUCUACCCUAGUUUCAACUUUUGGGGGAAUGUGGAUUUUGUUUUUGAUGUGACUAAACACCAGAGUGAGGCUGCCUAUGCAUUCUUUCAGGAUAAAGUCAAACAUAGUUCAGGGAAACUUUGUUAUUGUUUUUUUAGUUUUGAUUUGAUUUUUUUCAUUACAAACACUUUUAGGUUCCUAGUAACCAGUUCAAAAGGUUGGCAAAGGAUUGGAGUGUUUGGGGUAGUGAGAAUGAAGGCCUUCUUCAUCCAAUUGGAUAAUGUUGCUGCAAAAGGUUAAACGUAAUACGUUUUUACCGCGUAUGCAUUUAUUGCUUUUUCAAGGUCAUUUCCUUCUAUGUCUCCCAAAUACAAUGCCUCUUUUGGAAAUGAUUUUAUUAUAUUGUAAGGAUCCUUCCAGUUUGCAGCGAAUUUUCCUUUUCUUCCUAGUGGUGAGGGAGAAUAUGCCUCAGGACGAGUUGCCCCACUUCAAAGUUCCUAGGACGCACUUUCUUGAUUUAUGAACGGGCCAUUCUUUGGUUAUAUAACUGUCCGUGGUAGACUGCAAUCAUCCGCUUUUCAUCAAUCAGGUUUAAUUUUUCCAGACGGGUUUUGACUUACUCACUAUCCUUAAUCUCUGCUUAAACAAUGAUUCGGGGAGUUGGAAUUUCGACUUUUGCGGAUAUUAUGCCAGUGCCAUUAACUAAUAGAUAGGGUGUUGCCUCAACUGAUGUGCGCAUAGUUGUGCGAUAUCCCAACAAUGCUAAUGGAAAAUUUUCAUACCACUAUCUCAAACUUUGAAUCAUCUUUCUUAGAAUCUUCCUGAUGUUCUUGUUUGCCGCAUCAACAAUACCAUUAGCUUUGGGCCGAUAAGGGGUAGAAUUUUGAUGCGUGAUCUUAAAUUGUUCACAUAUCUUCCUUAUCAAAUGACCAUUCAAGUUUGCAGCAUAUUGUUCACAUAUCUUCCUUAUCAAAUGACCAUUCAAGUUUGCAGCAUUGUCUGUAAUGAUGGUCAUAGGAAUACAAAAACUGUAGAUGAUAUAGGAGGGCACGAAAUCCACUACAUUUUUCUUAGUGACGGCUUUGAGAGUGACUGCUUCAACCCAUUUUGUGAAGUAGUCAAUGGAAACCAAUAUGAAUCUAUGCACAUUUGAAGCUUUUGGCUCGAUUAGCCCAAUGACGUCCAUUUCCCAAGCAACGAAUGGUCACAGUGCUGACAUUGGAUGCACUUCUGUGGGUGGUUCAUAAAUCAGAUCACUGUGCACCUGACACUGAUGACAUUUUUGGACAAAACUGAAGAAAUCUUUUUCCAUGUUCAUCCAUUAAUGGCCUGCUUGAAGGAUUUUAUUUGCUAGGAUGUAUCCAUUCAUGUAAGGUCCACACACUCCUGCGUGCAUUUCAUGCAUGAUUCUUUCGGCCUCUUCGGCAUCCACACAUCUUAGCUGAAUGGGAUCUCGAUUCCUUUUGUACAAGACCUCGCCGCUCACUGGCAAGCCUUCUAAUGGUUCUCUUUUGAUCUCCGUUGGCUUGCUCAGGUUAUUUUUUAGUUAUUAGAAAUCUCUUGAUAUCUUGAUACCAUGGCUAAACAUUUGGUUCAACCUUAACCGCAUUGCAGUAACCAUGCCUUUCCUAGAUUUAGAUUUCUAACGGGUCAAUGUGGAGACUGACUGGAUAUGGCAUAAUUGAGGCUAAAGUAGCGAGUACAUCGGCUAACUCAUUAUGAAAACGAGGAGUGUACCUAAACUCGACUGACUUGAACUUCUUGCUAAGAUCUUCCACAUGUUUCGUAUAUGGAAUCUACUUGACAUCCUGAGUUUCUCAUUUUCCUUGAGUUUUUUGGACGAUCACAUUUGAAUCUUCUACGAUUACCAAUUCUUUCGCAUCUUGGUAGAUUGCCAUAUUCAUACCCAUAAUGCAGGUUUCAUACUCGGCAGUUUUGUUUGUGUAGAAAAAUCGAAGCCGGGCUGUGGCUGGAUAGUAUUGACCAGUGGGUGAGGUCAAAAUUUCCCCAAUCCCGACACUUUUGCAUUCACAGCUCCAUCGAAGAACAUUUUCCAUGCAUGGUGUCUUCUGAUGUUACCUGAACUAAAUUCACCUCCUCGUCCGGGAAGUAAGUACUUAAAGGUUGAUAUUCAUCAUCAGCAGGGUUUUCAGCUAGGUGAUCUACUAAAGCUUGGCUUUCAUUGUUGUGCGGGUGACAUAAACUAUGUCGAAUUAAGUGAGCAAGAUUUGCCAUUUUGCUAACCUACCUGUGGGCAUCAGCUCUGGAAUAUACUUCAAAGGAUCCAACCUGUGAUUAGAUAAAUGGUGUAAGCAAAUAGGUAAUACCUAAGCUUCUGACCGACCCAAGUUAGGGCGCAACAAGUUCUUUCUAACAAAGUGUAUUUGGCUUCGUAGCUAGUUAACUUCUUGCUCAAAUAGUAGAUUACUUGCUCUUUCUUUCCGGUCAAAUCAUGUUGCCCGAGGACACAACCGAAAGAAUUCUCCAAUACUGCCAGGUACAAAAACAAAGGUCUCCCAGGUUUGGGUAGGACCAAAACUGGCGGAUUCGACAGAUAUUCUUUGAUUUUGUCAAAGGUUUCUUGACACACAUCUCUCUAUUUAAUCAUUGCAUCUUUCUUAGAGGAGGAAAAUCUUGAAUAGACUUUAUAUUUGUUGGAUCUAGCUUGAUGCUCCUCCGACUGACUAUUAAUACCAAGCGUUUCAGAGACAAAACUCCAAAUGCAUAUUUAGCCGGGUUUAGAUUCAAAUCAUACUUGCACAACGCUAUAAGAACUUUCUCAGGUCCCGAACAUGGUCAUAUUGUGUUCUAAAUUUAAUGAUCACAUCGUCCACAUACACAUCUAUUUUUUGGUGCAUCAUGUCAUGAAAGAUGGUAGUCAUAACCCUCGUACAAACUGCUCCAGCAUUCUUCCAACCAAAAGGCAUGAUCCUAUGACAAUAGGUGCCCCAGGGUGUUCAGAAUGGUGUGUUUUCUGCAUCUUCUUCAUCCAUCAAGACCUAAUGAUCCCAAACAUAACAAUACAUGAAAGACUGUACCACACGUUUAGCAAAAUUUUCAGCAAAGAUUUGGAUGUUUGGAAAAAGGGAAGUUUUCCUUUGUACGUACUUUGCUUAGAUCUCGAUAAUCAACGCAUACUCAUGUUUUCAUGUCUUUCUUUUGCAGUGGGACCAUAUUAUCCAACUAUGUGGCGUAUCGGACCACUCAGAUCACCCCCACCAAUAACUGUUUUGUGACCUCUUGUUUGAUCUUAUCACUGAUAUCAAUUUUGAACUUCCUCUAUUUUUGCUGGAAAGGGGGGUAAUCGGGGUAAGUCAGAAACUUGUGUACCCCUAUAUCAACACUUAAUCCUGGCAUAUAAUCGUAGGACCAAGGAAACACGUCUUUGAAUUAAAGAAAAAGUUUGAUCAGUGUAUCCCUAGUUCUUUCAUCUGUGUGAAUGCUUAUCAUGGUUUCUUCGACCUCUUCUGAACUACCCAAUUACCAGCUCGGUUUCAUUUUUAUUUAGCUUAGGAUUAUUCUCAAAUUGUGCCAAUUCUCAAUUUAUUUUCCUAAAAGCCUCUUUUUUAUCGUUUUUCGGUUCAGUGUAUUUGGAUCUGGUUAUGAUGUCAGCAAGAAUGUCAUGUCAUUUAAAGCCGCAUUAUUAGAACUGAAUGAAGAAAUAAGAUAAAGUAACAAAAAUAAUAGCGAAUAACGAUAAAGAUUCAUGAACGAUGAAAUACUGAUUUUAUUUCACGGAGUUUUUAAGAUAACAAUGUUUACAUUGGAAUUUAAUGACUGAAACUAAAGGAAACAUUUGAGUUACACCCUGGAAUAACUUGUGAUGUAGAAAAGGUGGCAAGACUGGAUUACCGUUAUUCCCGCCUGACUAGGAAUAUAGUAGCUUUUCAAUUUUGCUGCUUGGCAUUGGCCCUCAUAUAUUUCUUUUAUUUCUUCGGCCGUGAAGGCCUCAUCUUCCUGUUCUAUGCACUUGAGCUUGACGAAUGUUUUGAAUAGAUGCGGGGUUGGCUGAUGCAAGACGCAACUUGUCUUUUCACUCAUUUGCCCAUGUUUAAUCAGCUGGCGUGGCUUGAAAACCCACACCAUAUAACUUCUCGCUAGUAGUCAGAGUAAUAGGUUCGGUGAUACCUUCCAAUGAUGCCCUGAGUCCUUUCCCAUGCUUAUAACCAUUCUUGAUCAUUUCACUAUCGACCAUAAGGGAUGCAUUUGACAGAAAGGGAUGAGGGCACGGGCUUCCCUCCUUACAUUGAUCUGCGACCACCACCUCAAAAGCAUGAUAGACUAUGGGCUCGCAGUCUUCCUUAGCUUCGAGAUGUAGGACUGACGGGUCCUGAUAAAUUGACUGCUCGUCUUCUCCACGAACUACAAUUUCCUGAUAUUCCUGCUCAAAUUCACCAUAUGAUGGAGGGUAGAAGGUACCACCCCUACAUUGUGGAUCCCAGGUCUUCAUAAGAGAAAAUUAAAGGAGGUAUCCAUCUCCAGGACCUGAAAUGUCACCUCAAAAUCCGCAGGAUCGAUAGUCAAAAUCAAAUCAAUCUCGCCUAUGGUGUCUCUCUUGAUGCCAUCGAAGGCACGUACACAGACAUUGUUAGGCCUGAUUCUCUCAGUUCCAAUCUCCAUUAUUUGCAACGUUGAGAGAGGGAAGAUAUCAACUCUGGAUCCACCAUCUAAUAUGACUCUUUUUACAUAGUACCCCUCACACUUAACUGUCAAAUAGAGGGCUUUGUUGUGGACAACCCUUUCCAGGGGAAAUUCAUUCUUGCUUAAUGAAAUCGGGUUGACUGCGAAGAAUCUUUCUGCCAUCCUUUCAUGUUUUUCGACAGUUGUUUCAAUCAGAACAUAAGCCUUAUUGAGGGUCUUUAUUAUCACUUUCUGAUGCUCACUCAAGCUUAUCAGUAGAGACAAGAACGAGACCUGAGUGGGAGACUUUCGGAACUAGUCUAUUACCUCGUGGUCUGCAAUUUUCAUUUUUCGAAAACAUUCCUCCGCUUCUUUGGUAAUAACUGGCUUUUGAGCGUGAAGCGCUUCUACUUGGCAUUGUUCACUUCUUCCACAUUGAUUUACUUCCCUGAUGGGCUUGUUUCAUUUAUUUCCCUUACGAUUUCUUUCUCUUUGUAUGUCAUAAUUGAUCUGUUGUAGUUCUAGGGGACUAUAGUGGUAUCUCUCAUGGCACUUUAUGGUGCGCGACUAUUUACCACGGGCUGGUUCAGCCCAUGUGGAAUCACCGGUCCCUGCACCAUGUAAGCACCUUUAGGUACAUACAUCUUGGGUCCUUUGUUCAGCUCGAACCUCCUAGGAGGACUCAAUGGCAGUUGUUCUCCCUGUGAGCUUCGGGAACAUAAAGAAUGGCGUCCUUAGGGGGUAAUGCCCAUGUUUGAGUUUACACGUUCUUUUUUUCUCUUCAAUGAGCAGAGUUAUUUUAUUCUCCCCCUUAUCUUGCUUUGCAGCAACCUUUGGCUUUCUUUGCACAUUGGCGAUGGCGAUGACGACUUUUAGAGCUGGGUCAUAUUUUUUAUCUUCAUAAAUCAUCCUAAUAACUGGCCCGUUGUUGUGAGCAGGCAAUGGGUUGUUGGUCACAUUGGGAUUUCUUCAUCUUUCAACACUACCCUUUUUUUCUAUUAAGAUUUCGAUUGCCCUUUUGAGAGUCCAACCGUCUCUAGUCUCAUGCCAUUCCGCUCCCAAAUAGUAGGCACAUCGAGCACCAGGUUGGUAAGAGGUCCACUCUAGGUUUUGCCUGGUUUGGAGUAUGUGUUGCAACAAACCCAUUUGGACAAGUUUAGGGAAAAAGCUAGAGUAAGAUUCAUUAAUAGGCAUGAAAUUUAUUCUUCGGGGUGGUUCCCAAGCACGGGCAUUGUAUGGAAAAUUAUUUUGAGGGGGUUGGGGAUUAUAUGGAGGUUGGUGAGGAGAAAUAUUUCUAGAUAAUGGAGCUUGGUUUUGGUUAAAUUGUUGUUGUGGCCUAGCGUAUGGCUGCGCGUUCAUUACUGCAUACAGUUGAUAAGCCAUAACAUAGGCCACAUCCUGAUGAGGAUAAUAAUGUUGUAGGGUGCUUGAAGGUAAGCCACCAUCGCCAGUUCUCCCUUCUUCUUUCUAUUUGCUACACCUCCAGACCCUCUUUCAAUUUCUUGAGACGUAAAUCUUAUGGCAGAUUGGCUCAAUAUGCCCCUAUUUACAGACAAUUCCCGACCGUCUCACUAAUCUUGAUAGCCUCAACGAACGGUUUCCCCAUUGCAGACAUCAUAUUCUGAAAGUAGUUAGCCUCUUGGGCUUGUAGAAAAACACUAACCAUUUCCAUUUCAUCCAUCGAGGGCUUGACCCUGGCCGCUUGUUCGCACUAUUUAACAGCAUAUUAUCGAAAACGUUUGAUAACUUCUUCUUGAGAUUCGACAAAGAAUUCCUGUCGGGAGCUAUGUCUAUGUUAUACUGAAACCGCCUGACAGAUAUAGAGCAUGAUCAUCCUAAAUAUGCCAAUGUAAUAUGUCCUGAUCCAUGUACCACUCUGAUGCAAUGCACACUAGAGUCUCUCCAAAAUAAGUCAUGAGAAGCUCCUUUUUUCUACCUGCUCCUCUCAGUUGACUGCAGUAUCUAUUGAGGUGGGCUAUGGGAUCCCCGUGCCAGGCAUACUGUUUGAACUUGGGAGUUGUAAAACCUAGGGGUAAUUGGACUUGUGGGAACAUACAUAAGUCAGCAUACGAUACACUCUUUUUUCUGCUCAAGCCUUGUAUAUUUUUUGAGUCUCUGUUCCAUGCUCCUUAUUUUCUAAGUAAUUUCCUCUAGCUUAGAGUUCUUUGUAGCCUUUUCCUAUCCUACGGUAAACUCGUACCGGGUUUGUUGAUGGUAAAAAUUGGUGGUGAAAUGGGUAGGUUCCGGGUGAAAAGAUUGUACUUUAAUGUGGAGGACUAUGGAUUAAUGCUUGUCCUGGGCAAAAUCAUCUGUACCGCAACCAAGGUUGGUGGUGCUGGAAAUAUGUUAGAGGCUUCUGCCAAAACCACUUGUGGGCAAACCUCAGUAGGUGUUCUGGCAAAGUGAGCUGAGAUAGUGGGGAAUUUUGGUAACUUAUUGGGACAUUGAAAUUUUCACUUUCUUUGGGACGUAAUUCGGGCAAACUAGGUAUGGCACUCAGUGGCUCUUGACCAUUGCACCAAGCGUCCCAUAUUUCCAAGAUGCAGAGGCGCAAUGCCCUAUUCUCGUUAGCAGCUACUGACUCUGAGAAUGGAAUAGUCAAUAGUGGGCUAUCCUUUGGAAUGGGACUCGCUGGUACAUAACCUUCUAAUGACAUUUCUACGCUGCCCUUAGAUCUUGUAAAGUACGGGCGUAAAGCUAGGUUACCACAAACCAACUACCUUUAAAAUAGAACCUGGAUGCUCAACAGUAGACAAGAAACCGGUUAGUUUGAAGCAAUUAACACAUAUGAAUCACACAUUGUGGUGUGAUGUACCUGUACAGUUAAAUGUGUUUCUACAUGUUUUGCAACGAUUACAUGUCUCAUCCCAACUUUUGUUUAUCUCGCCGAUCUUCUCUCUUGCUUUUAUUUUCAUUUUUUCUCUCACUCUAUUUUCCUUUUGCUUUUUGUUGGUCUUCUCUCUUCAUUAGUUUCUCUUCUAUUAGAGUUAUUUAUGAAAAAUAUCACCAGAUCUGAUUAGGAUUGCCUUCGUGUCGUGACGUCGCCCGAAUCAAAUCAUCACGUAGUUCAAGGAAUAAAUAAAAUAAAUAAUACUUUUUUGGGUUUUCCAAUUUUUUAUUAAACUAAGACUUCUCCAUUUUAUCUAUUACAAAACCUCGAUCGUACAUACUUGAGAAUUGAAAAUUAAAACAAACUCGAAACAGACUUUUAAUAUGAAAAUACGAACUCAAAAAAGAGAAAACAAUCAGUAGUAUAUGAGUUCCUCCAAUCUUAUCCUAGGAACACCAAUUCGUCUUGCUGCAGGCCUAUGCGCCAUGUCAUCCUGGAAGCAGUAGAGAUCAUCCAUUAUCUACGAACAAAGAUCAUCACUUUGGCGAAGAACAUGGACCUAGUCAUUUUAUCGCAUUCAUUGCAUUUCAUCACAAUAUAGUCGGCGAUUCUUUUAACCAUUUCCCUUAUAAUGCCAAUGUCAUGUAACAAACUCCCCAUCUAUUAAGAUCUAGCCUCCAAUAAUUAGGUGAUUGAUUUUAUUCUUGCAAAUGUUGUAGGCCUCCCUCUAGUUGUGCCAUCAAAGCUAACAAUGUUCUCUCUCGGCUUUGAAGCUCUUGGAUAUUUUAGCCAUUUCACCUUCAAAGCUAUUAAUCUCCUUUUUCUAACCAUGAACCCUUUAACAUAUCUUUCCUUCAACUGUCAAAUGAAAGUUGCACGUUCUUCUGGCCAACUUCGCUUGUACUUUCAUUAGCUCAGACUCAGUCUUUUGGAAAUCAUCCUCAUAGUCACGUACUUUUUGUGUAAGGUUAUAGAUGAGCCUUUCAACUUUUCUGCUUCUGCCUGGGUUCUCAGCUGCUAUUCUCAUUUUCCAAACAUGGGUCCGGAGAGCUUCAUUUUCCUAGGUCAUUCUUUUUCUUUCACCUUCAGCUUCUUGCGCCUAUAAACUAUUAUUGAACACGACGUUCCAUUGUUCUUUUUGCAAAACAUGAAUUCUAUCUUGAUAUUGUUUCUCCUUCUCUCCCCAGGCCAACCUUUCCUGAAUUUUAUCAUCAAAAGCCUGAACAUAAGGUCUUUUGCGGGCUUUUUAGUAUCGGGCUCAAGCUUAGGCUCUGGCUCAUCAUUUGGACAAAACCUCCUCUCAAACACUGCAACAUAAUUUGGAUCCACUUCUCUUUUUGCUAGAUCUGGUACCUGGGUGUCGCUUUUCAGAUAUCGACAACCAUUAAAUAAUGUUGGACUAAAGCCUCAGGCAGUAUUGCUUCUGCAUGUAACUCAAUGACUUGGGUACUCAAAUCUACAUCUUCGGGUGCCACUUGGUACCUUCCCAGUAGCCUCAGAACUUUUUGUGGUUCAUAUGGUUGGAUACUCCUCAGGCCAAUCAUCAUCAAAUAGCCUUUUCAAGCUUUCAUGUAUAAGACUUCUGUUAGCAGAAGCCACCCUUGAGUCCAUUUAAUUUGACACGCCUUUANNNNNNNNNNNNNNNNNNNNNNNNNNNNNNNNNNNNNNNNNNNNNNNNNNNNNNNNNNNNNNNNNNNNNNNNNNNNNNNNNNNNNNNNNNNNNNNNNNNNNNNNNNNNNNNNNNNNNNNNNNNNNNNNNNNNNNNNNNNNNNNNNNNNNNNNNNNNNNNNNNNNNNNNNNNNNNNNNNNNNNNNNNNNNNNNNNNNNNNNNNNNNNNNNNNNNNNNNNNNNNNNNNNNNNNNNNNNNNNNNNNNNNNNNNNNNNNNNNNNNNNNNNNNNNNNNNNNNNNNNNNNNNNNNNNNNNNNNNNNNNNNNNNNNNNNNNNNNNNNNNNNNNNNNNNNNNNNNNNNNNNNNNNNNNNNNNNNNNNNNNNNNNNNNNNNNNNNNNNNNNNNNNNNNNNNNNNNNNNNNNNNNNNNNNNNNNNNNNNNNNNNNNNNNNNNNNNNNNNNNNNNNNNNNNNNNNNGGACAACCCAAGCUCAACACCUUCUGGGGUUCUACAAUCUUUCACACUCUUCUCAUAACUUUAUGAAGUUAUUCCAGUCUGCACCGUAACUCAUGAACUUGGGGUGACUGUACAUAUGUUCGAUCAACGAUAUUUGAAGGAGAAUGUUGCAACCCUCGAAGAAUUGAGCAUUAGGCUUACAAAGUGUUAAUGCCUGAUGAAUGUCUGCCAGCACUAAUGGAACAAGUGUGUGAUCUUCCUUGGUAGUGAGGAGCUGUGCAAUUCUGGCCAUACAAGUGUCUAUUGACCCUUCCGCAUUUGGAAAGACUAUGAUCCCCAAAAAUGCCAUGAUAAAAGUGAACCGCCAAUAAAUUUGCCAAGUGCUCUUAUCCUGCUGGUUUUUAAACCCUUCUUCAUGUGUUUCAAACCUAGCUGAAUGCCUGAACCUUAAGUAUAAGAAGUAGAAAGAACAAAAUCCUUUGCUAACAUGAGCUUUCUUAAAUUAUUUACUAAUAUUCUGAAGAUUGAAGAACUUGUGAACAGAGGGUGCCCUUGGGAAUAUGAGUUGUUCCUUCCUCAAGUCUUGGCCUAAGUCAACGUAUCCGGCCAUUUACUCCCAAGUAGCGGUGAGAUCAAAAUUAAAGAAAGUGAAUACAUUGUAGACGGGAUCCCCAAAGGUUACCAAGGCUUUGAUUAAAUCUUCCCGGGGUUUGAUGCCCAUGAUGUCUGUGAGGGAACCCAACUAAGUUUUCACCCAAUCUUGUCCAUGUUCAUUUAAAUCAUUCCACCACAUAUGAAGCUGCAACUGAGCCCGUUCUAUGAUAGAUUGUGAUGGGUCCUCGGUAGUAUUCAUUUGUGAUUGGUUCUAGAGAAUAUUCAUUUGUGACGGUUCAUGGACAACAUUCAUUUGUACAUAUGGAGGGUUAUGGUUAGGGUUGACUCUUGUGGACUCUUUUUGCAAAACAGGUUUUCAAUUUCUAAGGAAAAUCAACAGAUAAACACCCUUUUUAUGUUAAUUUAGAAUAAAUGGUCAUUUUUGAACACGUGGACAUUUCACAAUGCCAAAUACAUUUUUAGUUCGAGGAAAGUAAUGGAAAAAGACACAUUACUUGCCCGUUGCUCCCGAAUAUAGCCCUUUGACAAUUAAAAGAUAAUCUAAGGCUAUUCCGGUAAGAACGACUUAGAAAAAAGCACAGUCGAAGCUGGGUCGGCUUACUCUUUUGACCAAAGCCCUAAUCUAUACUUUACUUUAUUUUUAUUUGUAAAACUGAGGCCGAACCUUAUAUGAGUUGCCUACAUAUCCCACAUCCGGUGAGAAUCAGACCUGCGUAGUUCGGUCAAUUUUGACAUAAAAACAUGAUAUUUGACUCACUCUUUUUGAAAUACACUCUUAUUUUUCUCUUUUUUGAAAAGCAAUUUGGCAGAGUUUCGAGGCAUUUUUCAUAUACAAGGAUUUUCAAACAUCGGGUAAAUUCUCUACCCUAGAUCACUCUUAGUUUUUCUUUUUCUUUCCUUCUCGUAUCCAAUCAACAUGGAAGCUUACAAAUAAAUAUUGAUAUAGCACGUAGGAUGAAUCAAGAUGGUCUUUAUUUUUGGAUACACCUGUCCUAGACAAACCGAACCCCUAUUUUGAGUCCCCAAGGUUAAAUGCACGUAAUGUAAAUAAUCGUUCCUACUAGGGAUCCAGCAUAAGGUUGCGUUAUUCUAGGUUUAAAACUUGGGGUUUAUGUUCUUGACAUGGCUUACCCGAGCAGACAAAUGUGUGUCAAGGAGGGGGUAAAGUACCGAGAGCACGCAAGUCUACCCGGCCUUGUUGCUUGCCCAUCCCCGUUAUAUGUGGCAUAUCCCUAACAAAAAAGUGGGUCACGUGAAUGUGAUAACCAUUUUUUAGAAGACUCAAUAGGGAGGCGUAAGAAGACAUUUAAAUACAGUUCAAGUAAUAUCAAAGUGGUAAAUGGAAAUUAGCACAUUAAGUCUGUAAAAAUACAGUAAUAUAAAAAAUAAAUCCAAAGAAAAAUCACAUCAAUAAGCUCAAACUAUUGAACCCUGAACCGGAAGUUCUAGGUUAGUAUUCCUAGCAGAGUCGCCAAAGUUGAUACACCUCCUUUUUACCCACCCGAAGGGGUAUAAGGGAGUUUUUCCAAUUAAAGUGACAUUAUUCAAAAUGAGAUUAUUUUAUUUAAUCAGAGUAGCCACUUGGGAUAAUUUAUGAUGUUCCAAUUCAUCGAUUUAUUUUUAAAUCUCAAAUCGAGGAAAAUAAACUAUAUUUCAAAGUUUGCGAAGCUUAAAUUCUUGAUAAGGAAUGCUGUUAACCCAGGAGAAGUUGUUAAGUAUUCUCGGGUUUCGUGGUUCUAGCGAAGUGAUUAUUACUUGGAUUAAAUUGUUUAACUACUCAUUUUAGGAUCUAUGUGCAUUUAUCAAUUCUGUAUACGUGCGCGUAACUCAAUUUUGUAAUUACAAGAGUGAGUUACACGCACGUAUACUCUUUUCUUUUCGUGCGUGAAAAAUCAUGUCACGCGAACGCUUCCACAAUUAAUAACACUUUGUUGAUUUAUUUAAGAAACGUUUUUGUUGGAGUUGCUCGAACGCUCACCUCGAGUUACUUUUUAGAAAUAAAUUCGCAACUUAUGUUACGUGAACGUAUACAUAAUCGUAAUACUAAUCUAGAUCAAGCCUAAAACAAACUACGACUAUCUAGGACUAUUUUAAUACUAAGUUAUGAUUAAUGUGAGGGCCAUAGCUAAGGAUUUUGUUUAAGUAUGGCACUCCUCGAAUUAUUAAUAAAGGGAGUUGCAUUUUUUUCAAAUAAGGCUAAAGAUCCUAAUUGAAGUUCAAACUAAGGAUUUUCUUAACUUGAGCAAGGCUUUUGAAUUGCUCUUGAAAUAAUUGUUUUGGACCGGCAUGAGCUCCCUACUUAGACAAUUCAGCUUUAAAAGCUAUAUUUUGGCUCACGAAUUGGCCUACUAAAUAAUAACCCCAUGUUUUUCACCUAUGCUUGAACUUCAAAAAAAUUUACCUAUAUUGGGCUUAUUCCAGGCAGGCCCAAUUAACGUCUGGGCCUGUCUACCUUAUGUUCUUAAAGAAAAAUCCAGAAAGGGAGCAAGGAAAUAAUUCUGAGUGAAUUCAAUUAAAGCCAUGAAUAAAAACCAAACUAAAACUAAAUCAUGGCAAGAGGGCCCAAAAUCAAGCCCAAGCAUAACAUGAAGGAGGGUGGGAACACAAGGGGCCUAUUAUGGCUUGGCAGCCUAAUUUGGGCCAAUGCCAGACCCCUCACACACCCAAAAGCUUGUCAAGGCUUAGUUCAUCACAAUACAUGUGUAGUUUUACUAGCACCAAUUAAAUGCCUAACAUGCUGGGCUCUGACCAUUAUCAUUCAUUUAGUAAAAAUAAGGGAAAACCUUAGACUAUUCAUGCAUCACCUCAAAUUGAGCCAUACCACCAUUUUUAAGACAUGAUGAGAUUAGUGGCCGUUUAACUGAAUACACUUAACAACCAAAUACUGCAUUUUAAACUUAAUAUACUAGUCAAAAUCUAACAUACAACCAGACUGGCUAUUAGAGGUGUUUACCAACUGAAAGUCAAUUCAAAAAUGGUCUACUAGCAGACAUCAUACAUACAAAACCUAAGAGAAAGGAUGUUGACUAUCAACGCAGACCCAAGAUACAUAGCUGAUAGCACUGGUUAUCUAAAUAACUUAAGAUAUAUGUAAAGAGCAAACUGAAAUUCAUAGGAGCUUCUCAACACCUUUAAUACUAAACAAUCGGGCUAUUUCAUGACCUUAUAGAAAACAUUAGAAAAAAGUUAAAAUGUAAACAUGAACUCUAAACUCCAUGGCAACAAUACAUUUCUUCAAAAAAAAUCUUGUAUUUCAGUCAUAAUUCAAGGCUCAAGGUAUACCUGGUUACAAAGAAGAGAAACAAGGCCAUGAAUCUUUAGAGAAAAGAGCAAAGAAAACCAAAUGGGAAAUCAACGAAACAGUAGCCAAUAACCAGCAAUAUCACAAUUUCCAAUUUAAACCAUUUUGCAAAUCAAGAAACCCAGAAUCUUUGAAAGAAAAUGUGUUCUGAUUUAGGUAGAACUCCAAAAAAAAAAAAAAAAGAAAUGAAAACUCCUUCUCAAUGACACAGUAACUGAAAACUUUUGAAAUGCUCUUUAAGGUUCUAAAAAUCUUAUUCUGUUUUUAGAGGUUUUGUGCAAAAAAAUAAGGUUUAAUCUGUAUAUGUGAGUGAGGGAAAGCUUUCUUAGAACAGAGUUCUCAAAUAUUAGCAUCUAGGGGAUAUUCUACCCUAAGUUCCCUACCUAGUACAACAUUUAUGUAGAGGUUAAAUGGUCCAUAUGUCUAUUUUCAGCAUUUUUAAAAACCAAUUUCGACAGCUGGUACAUUUUCUAGAACAUUCUGAUAUUUAUUCAAUGUAAAAGUCUAGUUUUAACCCUUGAAAAUCUGCUUGUUUCAUUUUUACCUAAACCUUUUUGGUUCAAUUAGGUCCCUACGCUGUCUAUUUGUUGUCAAAUCGUAACCAACAUCACAAAAUCACAGUUAAAACACAUGAAAAGAUAAAAAGAAUAGACUAUUGGGCAAACAAACUUUAAAUUAAAACUAAAAUCAAUAGACAUAAACAAAUCAAAAAAUAAACAAACUUAGAAGAAAAAUUUAAACUUAAUACAUCAGAAAUGAAACAAACACGGAAGAAAACUUCAUACCUAAUAUUAUCACAAGUUUUAAAGGAAAAAUAUUAAACCUACGUAUAAGUAAUGAAAAUUAGCAAUUAGAAAUAGAAAAAGAAAACUUAAAUCAUGCGUCCAAAUUAGCAGUAGAGCCAAUUGAAAAGAAAUAACCCAUAAUUUAAACUAACCUGACUUAAUUAUCUUAAAUGCCUCGAACUAUAUUUAAGUAAAACGAUUGAGUAAGUAAACUUAUUUUACUAAAAUCCAUACAAGACAAAAAUCAAAACAAACAAGACCGAUACCUAAAAAUAAAAAUAACCAAGUAAAAAAAAGAAGAGAAGGAACAAAAACGACAUGAUUUUGGCCGGAAAAACUUGAAUAAAUAGAGCAAAACAACGAAUAGGGGAUUUUUGAUGAUUCUUGGUCGGUUAGUGCAUGACUUGAUCGGAAUCCAGUGGUCUUGAAAUAAGAAAAUACGAAUGCUAAUCCAUUGUUCUUUUCAACAACAAUCAAUUAGCAUGACCUUUUGACUCAAAUAGAGCCUGCCCCCAAAAAUCAAAAAGAGAAGAAGACAGUUUAAGAUUUGGUCUUUUCUUUCGAAAUUUAGAUCCGAAAUUGGGGUGAAUGGGUAACGAUUUUGGAGGAAUUGAUGAUGGAUAUAGGACGACGAGGCUAUGGUGGUUGCCUGGUUAAAAGAUGGGGGUGUUUGAAACAGUGCAGCCAGUCGGUGGUGUUUGGGAAUUUUGGGGCAGCUUGGGUUAGGCAUUGUGAGAGAAGGGAGACUGAAUGAGAGGGUGAGGAUAAUAGGGGUAUUUCAUUUUAACCUAAACUUUUUUGGUUCAGUUAGGUCCUUAAGGUUCUUAUUUGUUGGAAAAUCACAACAAAUAUCAGAAAACCACAGUUAACAUACACGAAAAGCUCAAAGGAAUAAACUAUUGAGCAAACAACCUUUAAGUUAAAUCUAAAAUCAAAUGACAUAAACAAAAUUAAAAAUGAAACAAACAGAGAAGAAAAAUUCAAACCUA